UUUUUUUUUCUUUAAGCUUAGCUAAUAAUUUCUUAAGAUCAUAUCUACCAUUGCAAGAUAAAAAGUCUCUAGCAGUUUCUUCAUCCAUAACAUAACCCUCAGGCACAACAGGCAAUUCAUAUCUAGGGGGAGAAUCUUCAUCAUCACUUUAUCAAUAUUAUUAGUUUCAAUAAUUUCAUUCUCUCUAACCCUAGCAAGUUGUUCAUCAAGAAAUUCACCUAGUGGCACGGUAUUAUCAAGCAUAGAAGUAGUUUCAUCAUAAGUAUCAUGCAAAGCAGAAGUGGCAUCAUCAAUAACAUGCGACAUAUCGGAAUGAAUAGCAGGAGUAGGUGUCACAAGUUUACUCAAAAGAGAAGGUGAAUCAAGUGCAGAGCUAGAUGGCAGUUCCUUACCUCCCCUCAUAGUUGAGGGAAAAAUCUUGGUUCUUUUAUCUUUCAAGUUCUUCAUAGUGAUCGACAGAUAUAAAUCCCAAGUGACUCGAAGAAUAGAGUUAUGCUCCCCGACAACGGCACCAGAAAAUAGUCUUGAUAACCCACAAGUAUAGGGGAUCACAACAGUUUUCGAGGGUAGAGUAUUCAACCCAAAUUUAUUGAUUCGGCACAAGGGGAGCCAAAGAAUAUUCUCAAGUAUUAACAGUUGAGUUGUCAAUUCAACCGCACCUGAAAGACUUAAUAUCUGCAGCAAAGUAUUUAGUAGCAAAGUAAUACGAUAGUAGCGGUAAUGGUGGCAAAAGUAACAGUAUUGGUUUCGUAGUGAUUGUAACAGUGGCGACGGAAAAGUAACUAAGCAAAGAUCCAUAUGUGAAAAGCUCGUAGGCAUUGGAUCGGUGAUGGAUAAUUAUGUCGGAUGCGAUUCCUCAUGCAACAGUUAUAACAUAGGGUGCCAUAGAACUAGCUCCAGUUCAUCAAUGUAAUGUAGGCAUGUAUUCCAAAUAUAGUCAUACGUGCUUAUGUAAAAGAACUUGCAUGACAUCUUUUGUCCUACCCUCCCGUGGAAGCGGGGUCCUAUUGGAAACUAAGGGAUAUUAAGGCCUCCUUUUAAUAGAGUACCGGACCAAAGCAUUAACACUUAGUGAAUACAUGAACUCCUCAAACUACGGUCAUCACCGGUAAGUAUCUCGAUUAUUGUCACUUCGGGGUUAACGGAUCAUAACACAUAAUAGGUGACUAUAGACUUGCAAGAUAAGAUCAAGAACUCACAUAUAUUCAUGAAAACUUCAGAUCUGAAAUCAUGGCACUCGGGCCCUAGUGACAAGCAUUAAGCAUAGCAAAGUCAUAGCAACAUCAAUCUCAGAACAUAAUGGAUACUAGGGAUCAAACCCUGACAAAACUAACUCGAUUACAUGAUAAAUCUCAUCCAACCCAUCACCGUCCAGCAAGCCUACGAUGGAAUUACUCACGCACGGCGGUGAGCAUCAUGAAAUUGGUGAUGGAGGAAGGUUGAUGAUGACGAUGGCGACGGAUUCCCCUCUCCGGAGCCCCGAACGGACUCCAGAUCAGCCCUCCCGAGAGAGAUUAGGGCUUGGCGGCGGCUUCGUAUCGUAAAACGCGAUGAAUCCUUCUCUCUGAUUUUUUCUCCCUGAACGUGAAUAUAUAGAGUUGGAGUUGAGGUCGGUGGAGCACCAGGAGGCCCACGAGUCAGGGGAACGUGCCCAGGGGGUAGGCGCGCCCCCCACCCUCGUGGACAGGGUGUGGGCCCCUGGCCUUGAUUCUUUCGCCAGUAUUUUUUAUAUAUUCCAAAAAUAUUCUCCGUUAAUUUUCAGGUCAUUCUGAGAACUUUUAUUUCUACACAAAAAUAACACCAUGGCAAUUUUGUUGAAAACAGUGUUAGUCCGGGUUAGUUCCAUUCAAAUCAUGCAAGUUAGACUCCAAAACAAGGGCAAAAGUGUUUGGAAAAGUAGAUACGUUGGAGACGUAUCAGAACACCGCUGGCAGAAGAGCCCUUGUCCAAUCGGUGCUCUCCGCCAUACCCAUCUUCGCGCUGAAGGCCAUUUAGGCAAAACUUGGUAUUCUAAAGGACAUUGACAAGAUCUACAAAAAAAUCUAUGGGCUCAGGAAGAAACCAUGUCACGAGGAAAGUGCAAAGUAAACUAGCAUUUAGUAUGCUCGCCAAUUCAUUUCGGAGGGCUAGGCAUACACGAUACUAAGAAAUUUGCUAGACCACUUCGCCUUCGCAAGCUAUGGUUGUCCUGGAUAGAGCCAAAUGGGCCAUGGGUUGGAUUCUCUCUCCCCCCGUGAUGAGCGGGAUCGUGACCUAUUUUUUGUUGCCACCACAAUGACGAUCGACAAUGGGGAAAUGACCAAGUUCUAGGAAUCCACCUAGCUAGGAACAUCACAGUUGCGCUCUGUUGUACCACCACUGUUCCUUCGCUCCAGGUUUGAGACCAGAUCAGACAAGGAUGCAUUCCAGGACAACAAAUUGAUCCAGGACAUCAGACAACCACCCCUUUCCGAUGCAAACAUCACAUAAUUCUACCGCCUUUGGAACCUAAUCAGAGGAGCCAAUGUCAUCCUCUGCCCUGAAGUUCUGGAUAAUAUUAUCUGGAAAACUUCGACCUCAGGUUCCUAUUCUACCGCUGCUACAUAUAGGCUCCAAUUUGCUAGUAGACUCAAAUUUCACCAAUAUGUUUUGGCACGCCUGGCACCACCCCAAUGCAAAUUCUUCGUCUGGUUGCUUAUGUUGGAUAGACUGUGGUGUGCUAACUACUACCUCUCGAGCACUGCGUUAGUUUUCCCUUGAAGAGGAAAGGGUGAUGCAACAAAGUAGCGUAAGUAUUUCCCUCAGUUUUUGAGAACCAAGGUAUCAAUCCAGUAGGAGGCCACGCACGAGUCCCUCGCACCUACACAAACAAAUAAAAUCCUCGCAACCAAUGCAAUAAAGGGGUUGUCAAUCCCUUCACGGUCACUUACGAAAGUGAGAUCUGAUAGAUAUGAUAAGAUAAUAUUUUUGGUAUUUUUAUGAUAAAGAUGCAAAGUAAAGAAAGCAAAAUAAACGAAAAAGAAAAUAGCUUGUUGACGGAAUAUUAAUAUGAUGGAAAAUAGACCCGGGGGCCAUAGGUUUCACUAGUGGCUUCUCUCGAGAGCAUAAGUAUUACGGUGGGUAAACAAAUUACUGUUGAGCAAUUGACAGAAUUGAGCAUAGUUAUGAGAAUAUCUAGGUAUGAUCAUGUAUAUAGGCAUCACAUCUGAGACAAGUAGACCGACUCCUGCCUGCAUCUACUACUAUUACUCCACACAUCGACCGCUAUCCAGCAUGCAUCUAGAGUAUUAAGUUUAAAAGAACAGAGUAACGCUUUAAGAAAGAUGACAUGAUGUAGAGGGAUAAACUCAUGCAAUAUGAAAUAAACCCCAUCUUGUUAUCCUCGAUGGCAACAAUACAAUACAAUACAAUACAUGCCUUGCUGCCCCUACUGUCACUGGGAAAGGACACCACAAGAUUGAACCCAAAGCUAAGCACUUCUCCCAUUGCAAGAAAGAUCAAUCUAGUAGGCCAAACCAUACUGAUAAUUCAAAGAGACUUGCAAAGAUAACCAAUCAUACAUAAAAGAAACCAGAGAAGAUUCAAAUAUUGUUCAUAGAUAAACUUGAUCAUAAACCCACUAUUCAUCGAUCUCAACAAGCACACCGCAAAAGAAGAUUACAUUGAAUAGAUCUCCACAAGAGAGGGGGGGAACUUUGUAUUGAGAUCAAAAAAAAGAGAAGAAGCCAUCUAGAUAAUAACAAUGGACCCAAAGGUCUGAAGUAAACUACUCACACUUCAUCGGAGAGGCUAUGGUGUUGAUGUAGACGCCCUCCGUGAUCGAUGCCCCCUCCGGCGGAGCUCCGGAAAAGGCCCCAAGAUGGGAUCUCAUGGAUACAGAAAGUUACGGCGGUGGAAUUAGGGUUUUGGCUCCUUAUCUGGUAGUUUGGGGGUACGUAGGUAUAUAUAGGAGGAAGAAGUACAUCGGUGGAGCAAAGUGGGCCCCACGAGGGUGGAGGGUGCGCCUGGGGGGUAGGCGCGCCCCCCUACCUCGUGCCUUCCUCGUUGAAUGCUUGACGUAGGGUCCAAGUCCUCUGGAUCAUGUUCAUUCUGAAAAUCACGUUCCCGAAGGUUUCAUUCCAUUUGGACUCCGUUUGAUAUUCUUUUUCUGCGAAACUCUGAAAUAGGCAAAAAAAACAUCAAUUCUGGGCUGGGCCUCUGGUUAAUAGGUUAGUCCCAAAAAUAAUAUAGAAGUGUAUAAUAAAGCCCAAUAAUGUCCAAAACAGGAUAUAAUAUAGCAUGGAACAAUCAAAAAUUAUAGAUACGUUGGUGGCGUAUCAAGCAUCCCCAAGCUUAAUUCCUGCUCGUCCUCGAGUAGGCAAAUGAUAAAAACAGAAUUUUUGGUGUGGAAUGCUACUUGGCAUAAUUUCAAUGUAAUUCUCUUAGUUGUGGUAUGAAUAUUCAGAUCUGAAAGACUCAAGACAAAACUUUAAUAUUGACAUAGAAAUAAUAAUACUUCAAGCAUACUAACUAAGCAAUUAUGUCUCUUCAAAAUAACAUGGCCAAAGAAAGUUAUCCCUACAAAAUCAUAUAGUCUGGCUAUGCUCCAUCUUCACCACACAAAGUAUUUAAAUCAUGCACAACCCAGAUGACAAGCCAAGCAAUUGUUUCAUACUUUUGGUGUUCUCAAACUUUUUCAAUAUUCAUGCAAUACAUGAGCGUGAGCCAUGGACAUAGCACUAAAUGUGGAAUAGAAUGGUGGUUGUGGAGAAGACAAAAAGGGAGAAGAUAGUCUCACAUCAACUAGGCGUAUCAACGGGCUAUGGAGAUGCCCAUUAAUAGAUAUCAAUGUGAGUAAGUAGGGAUUGCUAUGCAACGGAUGCACUAGAACUAUAAGUAUAUGAAAGCUCAACAAAAAGAACUAAGUGGGUGUGCAUCCAACUCGCUUGCUCACGAAGACCUAGGGCAUUUUGAGGAAGCCCAUCAUUGGAAUAUACAAGCCAAGUUCUAUAAUGAACAACUCCCACUAGUAUAUGAAAGUGAUAACAUAGGAGACUCUCUAUCAUGAAGAUCAUGGUGCUACUUUGAAGCACAAGUGUGGAAAAGGAUAGUAGUAUUUUCCCUUUUAUAUACAUUUUUUUGGUGGGCCUUCUUUUUUUGGCCUUUCUCUUUUUUUUAUUUUUUUCUUUUUUUGGGACAAUACUCUAUGAAUGAUGAUCAUCACACUUCUAUUUAUUUACAACUCAAUGAUUACAACUCGAUACUAGAACAAAGUAUGACUCUAUAUGAAUGCCUCCCGCGGUAUACCGGGAUAGCAAUGAUGCAUGAGUGACUUGUAUGAACGAAUUAUGAACGAUGGCUUUGCCACAACUAAAAUAUCGACUACAUGAUCAUGCAAAGCAAUAUGACAAUGCGUGUCACAGUAAACGAAAUGGUGGAAAGUUGCAUGGCAAUAUUGUUGGGGAACGUAGUAAUUUCAAAAAAAAAAUCCUACGCACACACAGGAUCAUGGUGAUGCAUAGCAACGAGAGGGGAGAGUGUUGUCUACGUAGCCUCGUAGACCGUAAGCGGGAGCGUUUAUCAACACGGUUGAUGUAGUCGUACGUCUUCACGAUCCGACCGAUCCAAGUACCGAACGCACGGCACCUCCGAGUUCUGCACAUGUUCAGCUCGAUGACGUCCUCGCCUUAUUGAUCCAGCAAGACGAGCGAAGUAGUAGAUGAGUUCCGGCAGAACGACGGCGUGGUGACGGUGUUGGUGAAGAACAAUCUCCGUAGGGCUUCACCUAAGCACUACAAAAACUAUGAUGGAGGAUAAACUAGAGGGGACAGGGUUGCCGGCACAUGGCUUGGUGUUUCUUGAUGUGUCUUGGGUGCUAGCCCUACCCCUCUAUUUAUAUGUUGAGCCUUGGGGUCGAAACUUGGAGUAAAAGCCUCCACAAAGUCGGUUUCACCCAAAGGCAAGAGUCCUUCUCGGACUCCAGGACUAGACGCCAGGGUUCCUGGCGUCUGGACCCAGACGCCAGGGACCCUGGCGUCUAGCCCCUGGACUUCGUAAAACUUCCUUUUGCACUUUCCAAAAACCUUGUGGGCUUUCCCCUUUGGCCCAAAUAAAGUGUUCUCGUACCCAAACAUUUCGGGAAACAUCCGGAACCCCUUCCGGAGUUAAAACACUAUUAUCCCAUAUAUCAAUCUUUAUCUCCGGACCAUUCCAGACUUCCUCGUCAUGUCCGUGAUCUUAUCCGGAACUCCGAACAACAUUCGGUCACCAAUACACAUAACUCAUAUAAUACUAUAUCGUCAAAGAACGUUAAGCGUGCGGACCCUACGGGUUCGAGAACCAUGUAGACAUGACCGAGACACUUCUCUGAUCAAUAACCAAUAGCGGAACCUGGAUGCCCAUAUUGGCUCCUACAUAUUCUAUGAAGAUCUUUAUCGGUUGAUGUCUACUACACAACCUUCUUCUUGUAGACGUUGUUGGGCCUCCAAGUGCAGAGGUUUGUAGGACAGUAGCAAAUUUCCCUCAAGUGGAUGACCUAAGGUUUAUCAAUCCGUAGGAGGCGUAGGAUGAAGAUGGUAUCUCUUAAGCAACCAUGCAACCAAAUAACAAAGAGUCUCUUGUGUCCCCAACACACCCAAUACAAUGGUAAAUUGUAUAGGUGCACUAGUUCGGCGAAGAGAUGGUGAUACAAGUGCAAUAUGGAUGGUAGAUACAGGUUUUUGUAAUCUGAAAAUAUAAAAACAGCAAGGUAACUAAUGGUAAAAGUGAGCGUAAACGGUAUUGCAAUGCUAGGAAACAAGGCCUAGGGUUCAUACUUUCACUAGUGCAAGUCCUCUCAACAAUAAUAACAUAAUUGGAUCAUAUAACUAUCCCUCAACAUGCAACAAAGAGUCACUCCAAAGUCACUAAUAGCGGAGAAUGAACGAAGAGAUUAUGGUAGGGUACAAAACCACCUCAAAGUUAUUCUUUCCAAUCAAUCCGUUGGGCUAUUCCUAUAGGUGUCACAAACAGCCCUAGAGUUCGUACUAGAAUAACACCUUAAGACACAAAUCAACCCAAACUCUAAUGUCACCUAGAUACUCCAAUGUCACCUCAAGUAUCCGUGGGUAUGAUUAUACAAUAUGCAUCACACAAUCUAAGAUUCAUCUAUUCAACCAACACAAAGGACCUCAAAGAGUGCCCCAAAGUUUCUACCGGAGAAUCACGACGAAAACGUGUGCCAACCCCUAUGCAUAGGUUCAUGGGCAGAACCCGCAAGUUGAUCACCAAAACAUACAUCAACAGAAUCACGUGGUAUCCCAUUGUCACCACAGAUACGCACGGCAAGACAUACAUCAAGUGUUCUCAAAUCUAUGAAGACUCAAUCCGAUAAGAUAACUUCAAAGGGGAAACUCAAUUCAUUACAAGAGAGUAGAGGGGGGAGAAACAUCAUAGGAUCCAAAUAUAAUAGCAAAGCUCGUGAUACAUCAAGAUCGUAUCAUCUCAAGAACAUGAGAGAGAGAGAGAGAGAGAGAGAGAGAGAGAGAUCAAACACAUAGCUACUGGUACAUACCCUCAUCCCCAAGGGAGAACUACUCCCUCCUCGUCAUGGAGAGCACCGGGAUGAUGAAGAUGGCCACCGGAGAAGGAUUGCCCCCUCCGGCAGGGUGCCGAAACGGGUCUAGAUUGGUUUUCGGUGGCUACGGAGGCUUCUGGCGGCGGAACUCCCGAUCUAUUGUGCUCACGGAUGUUUUUAGGGUAUAUGGAGAUAUAUAGGCGGAAGAAGUACGUCAGGGGGGCCACAAGGGGCUCAUGAGGGUGGAGGGCGCGCCCAGGGGAUGGGCGCCCCCCCUACCUCGUGACCUCCUCGCAGAUCCCCUGACGUUCACUCCAAGUCUUCUGGGCUUCUUUCCUUCCAAAAAUGAAUUCCGUGAAGUUUCGGGUCAAUUGGACUCCGUUUGAUUUUCCUUUUCUUCGAAACCCUAAAACAGGGUAAAAACAGAAACUGGCACUGGGCUCUGGGUUAAUAGGUUAGUCCCAAAAAUGAUAUAAACGUGUAUAAUAAAGCCCAUAAACAUUCAAAACAGUAAAUAAUAUAGCAUGGAGCAAUCAAAAAUUAUAGAUACGUUGGAGACAUAUCAGCAUCCCCAAGAUUAAUUCCUGCUCGUCCUGGAGUAGGUAAAUGAUAAAAACAGAAUUUUUGAUGCGGAGUGCUACUUGGCAUAAUUUCAAUGUGAUUCUUCUUAAUUGUGGUAUGAAUAUUCAGAUCCAUAAGAUUCAAGACAAAAGUUCAUAUUGACAUAGAAAUAAUAAUACUUCAAGCAUACUAACUAAGCAAUUAUGUCUUCUCAAAAUAACAUGGCCAAAGAAAGCUAUCCCUACAAAAUCAUAUAGUCUGGCUAUGCUCCAUCUUCACCACACAAAAUAUUUAAAUCAUGCACAACCCCGAUGACAAGCCAAGCAAUUGUUUCCUACUUUUGAUGUUCUCAAACUUUUUCAAUCUUCACUGUCGGUGUACUAGAAUAGGGGUACCCUAGUACCCCGAACUUGUGCACGGGCAGUUGCAGCACCCCGCGGCAAAGGCUUGCCGGGCGAAUGCCAAGAUCCCCCAAGGUUCCCUUGGAGCCAUCCAAGAACAAAGUAUUUAAGCUAAGGAGACAAGACCCCGGCAAGAGGAGCUUGCCGGGAAGGCCAACCAAGGCGCUCCAAGGAACUUGCCGUGACGCGCCACGUGCUCUGGCAAGGCAACAAGGCCCCGGCAAGAGGAGCUUGCCGGGAAGACUAAACAAGGUACACCGAGGCCCGGUGAGCGACGAGCUUCUGGACCCAACGAGAUAACAACAGCGGCAAGGCGCUUGCCGCGGCAGGCGGCCACUCUGCGCCCACGCUCCAACGCAUCCACCAACGUGUCGCUCUGGGGGCCUCUCCGGGCGCGCGUGGCAGGAGGCUGUGCAGCCAGCGGUGCGCAGUGGCAUGCGAAGCUGACAAGAUCACCAUCGUGGCGAACGGUGGCGCCCCUAACGGUCCUUUUCUGCACUGUUCGGGCGACUCAGACGGGCAUUUAAUGCCCUUGUCCCCUGCCGUCAGGGUUAGGUAGGGUGCACUGUACAAGCAACUGUAUCAACUACCUCGCUUUUUAUGUUUUUACCCUCCUCUGCGUUGCCACCUGUCGGUGACCCCUUUAGCGUAUAAAAGGAGGCCCAUGUGCAACAUAGAGAGGGUUCGGACAGUUUGCUUCGAUUCAUUCGUAGCCCAGAAAACAUCACACUCUCUCGCUCGAGAGCAAGAACACCAGAUAAUACAACCAGACAAGCAGCAGUAGGAGUGUUAUCUCUCCGGAGAGCUCCGAAGCUGGGUAAACUGCUCGUGUGCCUCGCCUCGAUCUGCUCUUCGUGCGACCUCCGCCCCUCGCCGAACCGAAAGGGGCCCGGUCCGCCGGCCCCAUAGGUGUUCAUGGAUCAGUUUUCCCCGACAUCUUUGGCGCGCCAGGUAGGGGGUGUUGAGAUUGUGUGAACCAGAUCCGGCGUUCACACGAGCUAGAUCUUUAUUCCCUUCAUCCACAUGCCAUCGAAGAAGAAGACUUCGGCGGCAGCCGCUCCAUCCACGUCACUUCCGCCACCAUUGGAGCAAACGAGUGGUGGGAUGGACGCCGGCGGAAGAAAGGACGUCGACGAGGAAGCUCAUGAUGCCGCCAGGUCCAAGAACAAGGUUGCACAAACCUCGGCGACUGUACAUGUUCCACGCCACUCUCAGGAGGCGCAAGAUCAACAGCGUCAUGGCACUAGCAGUGCCAUACGCAUGAUAGCCCAAGACCAAGCUGGUGGAUCUCGGGGCGCUCAAGACUAGCAUGCACGCCAGUGUGCUGGCACGAGCGGGGCACGGUCGCCUGGACGGGAUACUACUCCUUCUAACAUAGUUAGAAGUUCGAGCACAUCCCGCUCCUCGCACCGUCCGCCACUGCUACCCACCACUCCAGCAGAAGCUUUGGCACGAGCUCAACUUCUCCUAGAUUACCCUCCGACGUCGGACAAGAUCGACGAAUGGAGAGCCACCAUUCAGAGUCUCAUCGGCUACGCCAACGGCGACACUCCAUGGCGGCCGAGCGCGUCGCCGCCGCGGCAGGGCCGCCGGACGCGAGCCGGUGGCGACGAAACGGGUGGAGGUGCAACUACCAUGCAAUCACCUCCCCGAAGGCCAAGAUCGCCAACUCGCCGGAUCCACCUCGACAGUGACUCCACUGCAUCGUCGGAUCCACGAGCUCGUCGCGAUCAGCGCCAAGUUCUUCAUGAUCGACAACAAGAAGACGCUCGAACCCGCAUCGAGCGCCGAAGAGAAGCGCGACGUCAAUCCGACAAGCGCGCUGGGCCCUCUGUUGACAUGCAUGCGCCAGGGGAACCAGGCGGUCUGCAGUACGUGGUAGGUUGUCCUGCGUUCACUCGUGAGCUGUGGCAAGUCCAGUGGCCCAGCACAAAGAACUUCAAGCUAGACGUACCGGAGAAAUACGACGGCAAGACGCAUCCGUCAGAGUUCCUCAGCAUCUACACCAUUGCGGUACAAGCUGCCGGGGGACGAGAUGACAAGAUCCUUGCCAACUACUUCCCGCUAGUGCUCAAGCCCAACGUCAGAUCCUGGCUCAUGCACUUGCCAGACAACUCCAUAUCCUCUUGGGCUGAUCUGUGCCAUCAGUUUGUCGGCGCCUUUACCGGCGGACACAAGCCUCAUGGCCAGGAGAGUGAUCUUCAUCUGCUCGCCCAGAAGGAAGGAGAGCCCUUGCGCAAGUACAUUCAGAGAUUCAGUAGUGUGCAGCACAACAUCCCAGACGUCCAGCCUGCCGCGGUGAUCAGUGCGUUCCAUCAGAACGUGCGGAACCGCAGGAUGCGGGAGGAAAUGGCGAUGUGCAAGAUCAGGGACGUCAGUGAGUUAUAUGCAUUGGCCGACAAGUGUGCGCGUGCUGAGAAAGGGAGGAGACUCCCCGGAGAAAAUAUAGGAGCGGGAGGAUCUGACAGUGAAGAUGCUGCCCCGACAAGGAAAAACCAGCGGCGGAACAACAGAGGGAGGAAAGGCAAAGAAGUGCUAGUUGUUGAGUAGUCCAGCAACGGUGGUGGCGCCAAGGAAGCCAAAGCUGGUGACUACGGCAAGGAAGUUGCCGCGGAGGUGGUGGUCGCCGACAAGCAGGACGGCACCAACAAGCAGUAUUGCAAGAUUCACCGCACCAAGGGCCAUGAUCUUCAGAACUGUAAGAGAGUCGAGCAGCUUGUUGAGCAAUAGAAAGCUGAAUACGAGCGGCACGACAAAGAGAAGGCCCAGGAAGGAGCUGGUGGAUCCGGCAAGAAACGCCCCGGCUGAGGAGGACGCCGCGGCAAGGCCAAGCAGCGGCAAGGAGAUAGACCUCCCCGUGGCCACGACAAGGAUGAAGAUGAUAACGAAGAUGAAGAUAUGGAUGAUGAGGAGACUGAUGAGCAGGAGUUCCAGAAAGCCACAAAGGUCCUGUGCGUCGACGGUGGUGCUUCUCUGCAUGCCUCGCACCGCCAGCUCAAGCAGUGGGUGCGGGAAGUUAAUGCAGCAGAACCACUCGACGAGUCACACAAGCCUCUGAAAUGGUCCGGCACGCCUAUCAUCUUUGAUAUUGAGGACCACCCGGAUCGCAUAACUGCGGUCGGGUGCUUGCCGAUGUUGGUUUCACCAACAAUCCGCAACCUCAAGGUCACUAAGAUGCUAGUUGACGGCGGGGCCGGCUUGAACCUGAUCUCCUCCGCGGUGCUCCGGAAACUCCAGAUCCCUGACAGCGAGCUCGAAGAGACCGACACAUUUCAAGGAAUCAACCCGGGAAGGAGCAAGCCAAAGGGAAAGAUCACGUUGCCGGUAACAUUUGGCAGCGAGCUGAACUUCAGGACCGAGAGGGUCAUGUUUGACGUUGCCGACUUCCCAUUGCCUUACAAUGGAAUCCUUGGCCGACCGGCACUCGCCAAGUUCAUGGCAGCCUCUCACUAUGCGUACAACGUACUGAAAAUGCCAGGCCCAAUAAGUGUCAUCUCUGUCCCUGGCGACAAGAAGGAUGCUCUUAUCUGUACCAACAAGAUCUACCGGGAAGCCGCAGCCGCAGCAGAACAGAGGACACUUGCCGCUGAAGCUCCCGGGGGGAAGAAGAAGAGCAAGUCCGGCAAGAGCUCUGAUGCCCACUCCGACAAGCGCACCUCUUCGGAGUGCUGCGCUACCGUCGAGGACGCACCAUCGAGCUCCACCGGCAAGUGUAAGAAGGCAAUGGCAGCUCCACCUGAGACUAAGAAGGUGUCUGCCAAGGAGAAUGGCACUGGUGGUACCUUCACCAUCAGCGCCACUCUUGACCCCAAAUAGGAAAGCGCGCUCGUUGCUUUCCUGCGGGCGAAUGUCGACGUGUUUGCAUGGCAACCGUCUGAUAUCCCCGGUGUUUCCAGGAAAGUGAUUGAGCACCACAUUGCCGUCUGUCCUCAUGCGCGGCCCGUCAAGCAGAGAAUCAGGAAGCAGGCAGUAGAGCGCCAAGAAUUCAUCGCAGAAGAAAUCAAGAAGUUGGAAGCAGCAGGCCUUGUCAGAGGAGUACUCCAUCCCACGUGGUUGGCCAAUCCUGUUGUUGUGCGCAAAGCUAACGGGAAAUGGAGACUUUGUAUUGACUUCACUGAUGUUAAUAAAGCUUGUCCCAAAGACCCAUUCCCCUUGCCGCGUAUUGACCAGAUUGUUGACUCCACAGCCGGAUGUGAUUUGCUUUCAUUUCUUGAUGCAUACUCAGGAUACCAUCACAUCUUCAUGGCAGAAGAAGAUGAAGAGAAAACCGCAUUUAUCACCCCGUGUGGCACGUACUGCUUCGUACGGAUGCCUUUCGGUUUGAAGAAUGCUGGUUCAACAUUCGCAAGGGUAGUCCACCAUGCUUUUGAGCCGCAAAUACACAGAAAUGUGGAAGCUUACAUGGAUGACAUAGUGGUCAAGAGCAAGAACAAGGCGACCCUGAUUCAAGAUUUAGACGAAACAUUUGCAAACCUGCGCAAGAUCAACCUCAAGCUUAACCCCGAGAAGUGCGUGUUUGGAGUCCCUUCCGGCAAGAUUCUCGGGUUCUUCGUGUCUCAGCGGGGAAUUGAAGCCAAUCCCGACAAGAUCAAAGCCAUUGAGCAGAUCGAUGCACCAAAGCACGUCAAGGAUGUACGAAGGCUAGCCGGUUGCGUGGCUGCUCUCAGCAGGUUUAUCUCUAGAUCUGCCGAGCGCGCCCUGCCAUUUUUCAAAAUUUUGAAAAAGGCAGGUCCAAUGAAAUGGGCUCCGGAAGCGGAGGCUGCGCUGCAGGACUUGAAGAGAUACCUGUCCUCCACUCCAACGCUUGUCGCACCUAAGCCGCAAGAGAAGUUGUUGCUGUAUAUAGCGGCAACCAAUCAAGUGGUUAGUGCUGCGUUAGUGGCGGAGAGGGAGGCGGAUGAUGAGCCAGCAACCAUGGCAGAUCCAUCCAGCGACAAGCAGGGGGCUUCGUCGACAAGCUCUGGUCCCGACAAACAUGGGUUUGCGCAGGAACAUGAUAAGAUGCCAAGGAGAAUGGUGCAGCGCCCAGUUUACUUUGUCAGUUCUCUUCUGCAGGGGGCUAGAUCAAGGUACCCUGGUGUGCAGAAGUUGCUUUUCGGCCUCCUCAUGGCCUCGAGAAAGCUGCGCCAUUACUUCCAAGCACAUGAGAUCACAGUCGUCACUCGCUUUCCGCUGAAGAGGAUACUGCAAAAUCCAGAAGCAACGGGCAGGAUUGUCGAGUGGGCGCUGGAACUGUCAAGCUUUGGCCUCAAGUUUGACCUCAACUAUCCAAAGCAGAGCAUUGGCAGAGUUCAUAGCAGAGUGGACGCCAACCCCAGAUGAAGAAAUUCCAAAAACGAGCAUCCCCGUCAAAGAGGCAAGCAAAGAGUGGCUGAUGUACUUUGAUGGUGCCUUCUCGCUGCAAGGCGCCGGUGCAGGCGUGCUGCUUGUCGCACCCAUCGGAGAGCACCUCAAGUACGUAGUCCAGAUGCACUUUCCCAAAGAGCAAGCAACCAACAAUACUGCAGAGUAUGAAGGAUUGCUUGCCGGUCUCAGAAUUGCAGCAGACCUUGGGAUCAAGAAGCUCAUUGUCUGGGGUGACUCACAGCUUGUCGUCCGACAAGUGAACAAGAACUACCAGAGUCCGUUGAUGGAAGCGUAUGUUGAUGAAGUGAGGAAGCUAGGAGAGCACUUUGACGGCCUACAAAUGGAGCAUAUCCCAAGAGCUCAGAAUGAUAUUGCUGAUGGCCUGUCAAAGUGCGCCGCACUAAAGUUACCUGUGGAACUAGGGAUCUUUGUGCUUAAGUUGACUCAACCAUCCAUAACGCCCUCAACUGGACAAAGCAAAAAGAGGAAGUUGGUUUCCGGCGACUACUUUCCGGCAGAGCUCCCCGAAGCCGCCGCCAAGAAAGUCCCCAAGAUCAACACCAAGGAUGCUGAGGGGCAGUCUGCUCCGGCAAGCCUUAUGGUUUGUUCCGUUGAAGCAGACGCUCCCGACAAGUUUUGCUCCGGCAAGCUUGCCGGGGAACAUCAAGCUCCGACAGGACCACAAGUCCUUGCCGUGGAAGCGGAUGUUCCCACAGCAGAAGAUGUGCCUUUAGUCCUUGUUGUCGAGCCACAAGCUCCAACAUGGGCACAGCAGAUUGUCCACUUCCUUCAGACAGGAGAACUUCCCGAAGAAUAAGAAGAAGCGGAAAGAGUAGCCCGACAGUCAAGUAUGUACCAGUUUGUCGAUAGCUUACUGUACAGAAGAAGACUCAACGGCGUGAAAUUGAAGUGUAUUCGCCGGGAAGAUGGACAAAAGCUGUUGGCAGAGAUACAUGGAGGCAUAUGUGGCCACCACAUUGGCGCAAGAGCACUUGCCGGCAAAGCUUUCCGGCAAGGUUUCUUUUGGCCGACAGCCCUCCAGGAUGCAACUGCACAAGUAACCAAGUGUGAAGCGUGCCAGUUCCACUCCAAACAGAUACACCAGCCAGCUCAAGCUCUCCAGACGAUCCCUUUAUCCUGGCCAUUUUCGGUCUGGGGGCUCGAUAUCCUCGGCCCCUUCCCCCGAGCUGUCGAGGGCUUUGAGUACUUGUACGUCGCAAUCGACAAGUUCACAAAGUGGCCGGAAGUGCAGCCAGUGAGGAAGGUGACAGCACAGUCAGUCGUCAAGUUCUUCAGGUCGAUUGUUUGCCGUUUCGGGAUCCCUAACAGGAUCAUCACCGACAACGGCAUGCAAUUCACGAGCCGCACCUUCAUGCAGUACGUCCAAGACCUUGGCGCCAAGGUCUGCUUCGCUUCUGUUGCUCAUCCAAGAAGCAACGGUCAAGCAGAGAGGGCAAAUGCUGAAGUGCUACGCGGGCUCAAGACCAGAACUUUCGACAGGCUGCACAGGUGCGGAAGGAACUAGAUCGAGGAGCUGCCGGUGGUUCUUUGCUCGAUCAGAACGACGCCAAAUCGAGCCACUGGCCAGACACCUUUCGCUCUAGUCUAUGGAGCAUAGGCAGUUCUCCCCACGGAACUCAUAUACAGAUCACCUCGAGUGCUCGCUUAUGAUGAGUUUGAGCAAGAACAGCUGCGGCAAGACGACGCGCUGCUCCUUGAGGAAGAUCGUCUUCAGGCUACUGUACGAGCUGCUCGAUACCAGCAAGCUUUGCGCCGCUAUCAUAGCCGCAAAGUUAAAGCCAGAAGCUUCGAGGAAGGCGACCUUGUUCUUCGGCGCGUUCAGUCCGCCAAGAAUUCCCAAAAGUUGACGCCGAAGUGGGAAGGCCCUUAUCGGGUGAGACGAGUCACAAGGCCUGGCGCUGUCCGCCUUGAGACCGAAGAUGGCAUUCCGGUGAGCAACUCCUGGAACAUAGAACAUCUUCGUAACUUUUUCCCAUAAGGCGCGGUUGCCGGAACCCGUUCCGGCAACCACCUUUUGUACAAGUCUUGCCACUGUUGCAUGUAAUCCUUUGUACAAAGCUGGGCGCAGAUCCCGUGCAUAAGUAAAACCCCAUGUGCUCCGCACAGCUUGUCCAUUUCAUGCGUUAGUUCCUUUCUUGCAUGCGAUUAUCUGACACUUUGUGCAGCACCUACAUCCGGUAAGCAGUAACGAGCCGAAGAGCUCAAUAUUAUUAUUUUCUCUUCUUUCUUUUUCUUUUAAAGGAAAAGAAGGUUCUCUCGCACACAAGUUUGCCGGGGGGGAAGGAGAAGAUUGUGGUAUGGGCCAGGCGUCGUUCAAGCAAAGACUUGCCUUACCGGGAAGCAAAUGACAGAAAAGCUAAGUUGCCAAAGUUUGAGCAAUCACUUUUUAAAAUUUUUGAGUUAUCUUCCUCGAACGACCCUGCUUUGUAUGGAAAACCUGUGCGCGGAGGAACCAACUCGUGGCUAGUUGCGCCCUUACUUUGUUUCGAGUCCGCUCAACAGCUUAAGCGUGCUGCAUCUAGUCGCGACAAGGUUUCUUGUCGGAAGCAGCGCCGCCAGCAGGCUGCUGAAGUUCCGCACUCAGCGCUCGCGGCUCGGGCGCCUGCGCCGACAAGUUCCCUAGAAGCGUAGGGUAAUAACAUACAAAGGAAGGAAUCUAGUAGAGGAAAUAACAUUGCAAUUGAUAACAGAAAUAAAGUUAUAUUACAAGAUAAGAAUCUAGUAGAGGAAAUAACAUUGCAAUUGAUAACGGAAAUAAAGUUAUAUUACAAGAUAACUUGUCGCAACUCUAACAGACUGUUUUCAUAACAUGAUUAGCAGCGACAAGGGAAAAGAAGAAAUGGGCGGCCUAAUCUACGCGUCCGCCCUCGACUCUCUUGAUCUCGCUCACCUUGUCCACAAUGGGUGCGACAAGGGCCUUGAGUGCAUCCAGAUCGGCGUCAGGCAGCAAGGACCUGAGGACGUUGGUGAAGCUGAGGCCUGGAUUGCAGAAGGCUACCUUCAUCAGCACCUUCUGGAGAACCCCGGCGUAGAUUUUGCGCGACUCGUCGGCCAGCUGCUUCGGGAUCCUCUCCCGGAGCCGCUGGAGUGCCGUCGCCACACCCUUGAAGAAUAGGUUGAGCUUGGCACUGGGUUGAAGACUCUUGUUGGAAGGAUACCCAAAGUCCUCCAUCCCCAGCUGCGCCGGCUCCUCGUUGAUGACUGCGGCAAUGUUCACCAGACCCUCGGUCCAGUGCUCCAUAGUGUCUCUGAACGAGUUCUGGGUAACUGCAAUGCUGCGUCGGCCUUGACCUUCUCCGACAAGGUCUUCUCCCGCUCCUUGGCGGCCUCCAGCGUCUGCGUCAGCGUGGCCAGCUUCAGCUCCAGGUCUGCUUUGGAAUCCUUGGCGGCACUGAGCUCCUUGCCCCUCUCAGCGAGAAGGCCUUGUAGCUCACCGUGGGUGGCAGCAUCCUUCUCGCGCUCACGCUUGAGCGCGGCAAGCUCCUCGCCGCUCUUCCCAAUAUCGGCCUCCAGCUGCGCCACCUUCUCCUCUAGCUCUUUCUUGGCGGCCUCUGCAGUUGCCGCGGCGUCCUUUGCCUCCUUGAGCGCCCCGCCAAGUGCUCGCUCACGCUCAGCGAGCUCUUCCUCGUAGCUGUCGAGGUUGGCCUUCCGCUACACUAGUUCACCUUCCCGCGCUGACUGCUUCUCGGCAGCCAGCCUUUGUUCCUCCUCAGCCUCGGCCCUCUCGAGAAGAAAGGCCGUGCGCUCCUCGUCGACUCGCUCCCGCUCCUGCGCCAGGGACCGGAGAGCUUCUUGAUUUUGGCCCCGGAGCUCCUCCGCGGGCUUUUCCAUGUCAACUCCCGCCUUCGCGACAAGCGCUUCCCGGGAAGCCAGCUUGGCUUGCCGGGUGCGGUAGAGUGACAGCAGCUUCCGCAGCAGCUGCUCCUCCUCAGGCUCGCCGCAGCUGCUGCCGAGCGCGUCAACCAAUGACAGUCCAGCAGAGGCGAGCACCUCCCCGUCAAAAGUCUCCCCCUCGACCAGCACCCUGGAGCUCGACGCCCAGGGUAGCUUGAUGAAGAUAUUGUCACCGGCCUUCAAGUAGGCGCCGGGCUGGGGCUCCUCGGAGCCCGGCUCCGCAGAAGCGGCAGAGGGUUCGGCAGUCGGCGCAGCACCCGGCGCUCCUGCGGCCUCAGGGUCGUCAGUGCGAUCGCCUGACCCCUCGCCGGCUUCCGCAGCAGCAGCCCCGGCGGCCUCCUCGCCGGCGGUCUCAUCAGCACCGGCACCUUCCUCGCCGGCGCCCUCUGUCUCCAUUGGCUCAGCCGAAGAUGGGUCUGAAAAACGAAGAAGGGAGGAAAAUCAAUCAAAAAUCCAAGAAAGGAAAAACGGAAGAAGCAGAACCCAAGGGAAAGUUUCUGGGCAAGUGGAUUACCUGCGCCAAGAUCUUCAGUUGCGGCCUCGGUCGCCGCAGGAUCAGCAGUGUCGUCCCUUGCCGGAGAGUCCCCCCUUGCCGGAGAGCGCUCCCUUGCCGGGGACUCCUCCCUUGGCGGCGCAAUCGAAGCAGGUGGCACUUCGGGACCGGCCUCCGGGCGCUCCUGAUGAGGCCGCUCUGCUCCUGCACAAGUCAACAAGCAAGAUAUCAACAAAGAAAAAAGCACUCAAGCGCGCCCGGCAGCAGAAGGCUAAACUAUGAACUUACGCUGGGGGCUGCGCUGGGGGCUGCUCUGAGGGGUCAUUGCCGGGUCCGUCAAGGUGGUCUCGGGCCCACCUCCUGCCGACACGAUGGGGUCAUCCUCGAUGACGAUCACCGCGGCCUUGGCCCUCUUCGCCGCUCUCUGGGCCAGUGUUCUGAAAAGAAAGGAGUCCAGAUUGGAGCAAGUCAGAUACAAGAUAUAAACAAUAAGAUUGAAGGAUUGUAAGAGCACCAAAGAAACUCACUCUUCUUCCUCCUCGUCGGAGCUGAGCACGGAAAGAUCGAAGUCCGGCCCUCCUCCGGUGCGGCGAGGUGGAGGAGUAGGAUCCCUUGCCCGCUUGGCGGGGGCAGUGGCAGUGGCCCGGGAAGAUCCCGCUCCAGUUGCCGCUGUUGCGUGAGGCGCUCCCGUGGCAACAUUGCUUGCCGCAGUAGAGCGCGUCGCGUGGCUCGGUGGCUGUGGAGCCGGCUGCCGCCCCGCUGUGUCCCCGGCCCUGCGAAGGCGCCUCCUUGGCGGGGCCGGGGGCUCCGCCUGCGGCAAGUUCUCUGAAGGCUCAGCCUCCUCCUCGCCGGCCUCGCUCAGCUCGGCUUCGGAACCGGCAGGCUCCUCCUCGCCCAUGAACUCCGCACGUUCGGCAAGGUUUGCCGCCUCUGCAGCCUCCGCCUCCUCCACAGUAAACCCAAACACACCCGCAGCAGCUGCGGCCGCAGCCUCUUCCGCCCUAGUAGCGAUGAGCUGCAGCUCCUCGUCGGUGGUGUCACGGGUAAGGCUCUUCUGCUCGUCAGCGCGGACCGGCACUUCCUCCAAGGUGUCGAAGAACGCUCGCACAACGUCAUCCGCAGGCUCUUGCCAAGUUGGGACGAUGCCGUGUGAAUCGCACAACGGCAUCAUGGCGCGGACCCGGUCAAGCGAAGAGUUAUUGCACAAAGGAACUACGCCCCUCGGCAGUGUGAAUGGGUGCUGGGGGUCGCGUUUGAAUAAUUCCAAGAGCAUUGCGUCCAACUCCAAGACGGUGAAGUUGUAGUUGAGGCCCGGCCGCAGCCUCAUGAUGUCCGCCGAAUUCUUGAAUUCCCAGGCGGGCCUCCCCCUCUCCUGUAGGGGGGCAAUGCGGUGGCGGAGGAAAUCUGCCCCGACAGCACCUACGGUGAGCCCGGCAAGCCUGAGGCGAAGAAUCCUAGUGAUGGCGAUCUUCAGCCUCUCGUCUUCCGGGGCCACGUUGCUCCAGUCAUUGCCACGCACUAUUGGAGUUUGGCGCACGGCGGUGAAGGGCUGCGGAUUCUCCUCAACGAUCUAGCACCACUCCGCUCUCCACUCCUCCCACUUGCUGCGGAGCUCACCCUCCAAGUACGCCUCUUUCUUGCCGACUCUCGAGACCCAGGCAAUCCCUCCGGCAAGCGGCUCUCCUCUCUCUACCCGAGGUAUGAAGAAGUGGCGGAAAAGGGCAACACUAGGGUGGACUCCGACAAAGUUUUCGCACAAGUGUGCCAAAACUGCCAUGGUCAGGACAGUGUUGGGGGUGAAGUCAAGGAGGCGGAAGCCAUAUGUGUUCAUAAUAUCACAGAAGAACUCCGAGAAGGGCGGGCAGAGCCCGCAAUAGAAGAAUAGCGUGAAGAACGGGUACCCAUUUGGAGCCAACUCCGAAGCAGCGGCCGGGAGUACCCUCGUGCGUGGAUGCGCACGCGUCUCUGUCGCCCAAAAGAGGUAGAAGUACUCCCUCAGCUCCUGCACGCCGAGCUGGGGGUGAAGAUCGCCCGCUCCUUCUGCAGCGCCGCGAGCCGCUGCGCCUCGACCGACUUCACACCCUUUCCCUUGUCGGCUUUCGGGGCCAUGGCGGAGGUGGUGGGGAAGGUCGACGGCGUGGUGAUGUUGGUGGCAAUGGGGGGGGCGGAGCGCUGCUCUCUCGGCUUCGAGAAGAAGGGGGGAGCGGCAAAGUUUGUGAAGAAGGAGUAGCAGCAACCAGCGAGGGGGAACGAACUGCCUCUGUUUCUUCUGCUUAUAAAGAGGGACGGGGCGGACGUUUCGGCCUUCCAAAUAAACAACCACCCACGAUCUCUCCCACGAUGCCGCAUUCAACGCGUGCCGUUAUGGGAGAGCGCGGUGGAUACGGAACAAGAUUUGGCGUGGCCCAGCCCGCGUGUGCCUGUGCCCUGUCUUGGGCCUGGCCCAACAGCACUCGGCACCGUGUCUGGCCCAGGCCCGGGGGCUCCUGUCGGUGUACUAGAAUAGGGGUACCCUAGUACCCCGAACUUGUGCACGGGCAGUUGCAGCACCCCGCGGCAAAGGCUUGCCGGGCGAACGCCAAGAUCCCCCAAGGUUCCCUUGGAGCCAUCCAAGAACAAAGUAUUUAAGCUAAGGAGACAAGACCCCGGCAAGAGGAGCUUGCCGGGAAGGCCAACCAAGGCGCUCCAAGGAACUUGCCGUGACACGCCACGCGCUCCGGCAAGGCAACAAGGCCCCGGCAAGAGGAGCUUGCCGGGAAGACUAAACAAGGUACACCGAGGCCCGGUGAGCGAUGAACUUCUGGACCCGACGAGAUAACAACAGCGGCAAGGCGCUUGCCGCGGCAGGCGGCCACUCUGCGCCCACGCUCCAGCGCAUCCACCAACGUGUCGCUCUGGGAGCCUCUCCGGGCGCGCGUGGCGGGAGGCUGUGCAGGCAGCAGUGCGCAGUGGCAUGCGAAGCUGACAAGAUCGCCAUCGUGGCGAACGGUGGCGCCCCUAACGGUCCUUUUCUGCACUGUUCGGGCGACUCAGACAGGCAUUUAAUGCCCUUGUCCCCUGCCGUCAGGGUUAGGUAGGGUGCACUGUACAAGCAACUGUAUCAACUACCUCGCUUUUUACGUUUUUACCCUCCUCUGCGUUGCCACCUGUCGGUGACCCCUUUAGCGUAUAAAAGGAGGCCCAUGUGCAACAUAGAGAGGGUUCGGACAGUUUGCUUCGAUUCAUUCGUAGCCCAGAAAACAUCACACUCUGUCGCUCGAGAGCAAGAACACCAGAUAAUACAACCAGACAAGCAGCAGUAGGAGUGUUAUCUCUCCGGAGAGCUCCGAAGCUGGGUAAACUGCUCGUGUGCCUCGCCUCGAUCUGCUCUUCGUGCGACCUCCGCCCCUCGCCGAACCGAAAGGGGCCCGGUCCGCCGGCCCCAUAGGUGUUCGUGGAUCAGUUUUCCCCGACAUUCACGCAAUACAUGAGUGUGAGCCAUGGAUAUAGCACUAUAGUGGAAUAGAAUGGUGGUUGUGGAGAAGACAAAAAGGGAGAAGAUAGUCUCACAUCAACUAGGCGUAUCAACGGGCUAUGGAGACGCCCAUCAAUAGAUAUCAAUGUGAGUGAGUAGGGAUUGCCAUGAAAUGGAUGCACCAGUGUUGACACACGAACACGUCACGUGUACCCUCGACGCCAGGGGUGAUGCACCGCAGCUCACGUCGAAGGAGACCCGACCGACAGCGCGAUACGCAAGACAGUCAGCGGGCGCUUUUGAAGACCCGAAACCCCACACGCCCGGGAGGGACCCCGUCAGGGAGUGCGGCGGCUAUGGGCUGCCCUAGGUUAAUUCGCUCGCCCCUAGAGCCACGGGAUUCACAGCUCUCAAACACGAAGAACAGCAAAGAACGAGAUAGAAAAACGGUGGAGAGAUAAAAAACGUAGAUGAAAAAGUAGUAUAUUGAUUUGUCCGAUUGUGUGUUGUUCAAUCGGCCGUCACCCCCAACAUAUAUAAGAGGCAGCUGGACUUCCCGUACAAGUAAAGGAUUCAUCUAGGCUUUCCUUAAAAGAAAAAUUACAUCAAUUCACGUCCUACAGUCCUAAUUCUAUUCCAACUCGAAUUCAGUCUGAAUCUGGCCCAAACUAUGUCUUCCUUCUUGCAUGGGCCGCCGGGCUUGCAUAUGAUCUCCUAUCGAGACAGCCGAAAUAUCAAACUUGUGCGCCUCGACGAUACGAACAACUCUCAUGUUGAUCACUUUUUCAAAUAAGGCCAUCUUGAAUACUUUUCGAGGUCAUCUUUAUCUUCCAGUCGGACUCGGUCUUGCAGUAGACUGGAUUAUCCGAGUCUCGUAGUGAAUUUGUAGGCUAUAUAUUAUCUCUGAUGAUGAUGACUCCAAAAUCAAAGUUUACCGUCUUGAUGAUACGCACGACUUCUGUAUUGAACACUUCUUCAUCCAAGGUCAUUUUGAUAAACUUUCGAGCACAUGUUCAAUUUCACUCGGACUUAAGCUCAUCCACUCGGAUAUUAGAUACUUUCACUCGGAUCGUCCGAUUGGACUUUUUCAUUCGGAAGACAAUCUUCCACUCGGACGACUAUAUUUCCACUCUGUAACAUCCCAAAUUUUCAAUUUAGAAUGUUAUACACUAGAUCAUCAUGCAUAGCAUAUUUUCUUGCAUUUUGGUCGAUCCUAGAAAUUUCACGCAACUCAAGGACCCUCGGAGAGAGUUGGAGAUUUCAUUAUUUUCAUAUUUGAGAGUUCUCUCAAAUUUUGGAAAAGAGGAUCAUUUGAUUUAUUUAUUUCAUCUUCAAUUAUUUUUCCAAUAUCAAAAAAUAUAAGAGAGGGAAUAAUAUGACUUUCCCAAAUUUAGGAAAAAUGAAGAUUUAAUGAAUAAAUCAAAUUUUGGUUUUGCCGGAGUUUUGUUUGCUUUUUAUUUGGAUAGGGAAAAAUGCGUGUUUUCAAAAAUUGCAUUCUAGGCCCGGAGUAAAGUUCAUUUUGUUCGGCUCAUUUUUAGGAGUCGGGGAAAAUUUACUUUAGAAAUUUUGGAGCCCGUUUAGUUUUCUUUUCUUUUCUUUUUCUGCGCGCGUAACCGUUUAAAAAAAAGAGAGCCAGGCCAGCCGGGCCAAAGGCCCAGCCAGCCGGCCGCCUCCCUAGCCUCCCUGCGCGCGUGCGCUAGGCGCAGGCAGCAGCGCCCCAGGCCGCCGCCUCGCCUCUUAGCCGAGUCCGGCUUGGACUCUAGGCUAGCCCCCUCCUUCCUUUGUUUCGUUUUUCUUUUCCUACUCUAUUUCUUGUCCCCUACCCCAAGUAAACCCCCUCCCCUCACCAAUAUAAAUACCCCCACACCCCCCCCCCUCCAAAACAUCAAAUCAAAACCCCAAGCCCCACACCACCCCGCGCCUCCCCAAGCNNNNNNNNNNNNNNNNNNNNNNNNNNNNNNNNNNNNNNNNNNNNNNNNNNNNNNNNNNNNNNNNNNNNNNNNNNNNNNNNNNNNNNNNNNNNNNNNNNNNNNNNNNNNNNNNNNNNNNNNNNNNNNNNNNNNNNNNNNNNNNNNNNNNNNNNNNNNNNNNNNNNNNNNNNNNNNNNNNNNNNNNNNNNNNNNNNNNNNNNNNNNNNNNNNNNNNNNNNNNNNNNNNNNNNNNNNNNNNNNNNNNNNNNNNNNNNNNNNNNNNNNNNNNNNNNNNNNNNNNNNNNNNNNNNNNNNNNNNNNNNNNNNNNNNNNNNNNNNNNNNNNNNNNNNNNNNNCUCACCACCGCCGCCGCCGCCCCUCACCCACACCGCCGCCCUUGUGCAUCGCCGCCGCCGCCCAACGCCGCCGUUCACCGGAACCUCGCCGAGGUAGCCGCGCCGCGUCUCUUUUUCUCCCCUCGGUUCGGUUUUUCUUAUAAACCGUUCCGAUUCUUUUCUUCUCUUCCGAUUCGUUUUCUUUCGGGUUCUUUUCUAAAUCGUUCCGGUUUCUAGAUCGGUUUUCCGUUUCUUUUCGGUUUCUUUUCCGAAAACCCUAGAUCGGUUUUCGUUCUUCUUUUGGACCAUUCGUCUCAAUGAACGUGAUCACCGAUUAUUCCCCGGUUAACGACGCCCGUUCGUUUAACCGUUCGUCUCUUUCUUUUCGUCGGAUUUAUUCCGCGAUCGUGAUCUCAGAUCCGAUCUUCGUUCUAAUCUUUCUUCUCGCUCGUUUAUCGGAAUCAGGUGAUUCAAGCGCCUGGAGUUUCGUUUCGAAACCGCCGUUCCGUCUAAUCAACUUAAACAAGUUUUUGCCCCGGUAAAAUUUGACCUAGUUUCAACUUGCUAGAACCGAGUUGUUUUCUUCCGCCGUUUGUUUUCUGUUUCUUUGUUCGGUUCGUUCUUUCUUUGCAACCGGAGUUCUUAAGUUGAACUUUCUGGUUCGUUCUCUUGUUCGAGUUUUACCUGUGCAUUAGAUGAGUACUUAUUGUGUGCUUGUUGUUUGUCUGCAAUAGAUCACCCGGAUUGCGCCGCUUGUUACUUCGAAACCCUAGGUCUCGCGGAUCAUCAGCAAGGCAAGUAACACUUUGAUCAUACCUUUUCUACAACCCAGUUUUAUUGCAUUAGAUAAAUCCUCACACAUUGCAUGAUUAGGAUUUAAUUAAACUGUGGGAUGGGAAGUAGAUGAGGUAGUACCUAUUACCUGUAUUACUAUGAAACCUUUGGGAGUUACUUCUACAUUUGCUUAUUAUGCCAUGCUAUGCUAGUAGACGUGGAUUGGGUGAGUGAUAUCCAUGACAGAUGUGAGUUGAUAAUUCUAAUGGUUUAUCUAAGGUGGCAACUUAAACACACAUCUGGGUGGAUUGAGGCACCUGAUGUCUAUUAGGACUUGCCUGUUUUAUUUUGGACCGCCACCCAGGCUCAAAGGGAUCAUAAGAUCUUUCAUGCUAGAAACUUCCGUGUGCAGCCACAUGCUACUAUGGGCUCUGGCAUAGUUGACUAAGUUGUGUGAACUCUUACGGGGUGGACUAGCAGAUGUAGGGGUUGUAGGUGGUACGGUCUACCCCACAUGUAAGGUGCUAGUGCUUCUGAAAGACUAUGUCUCGGUCAUCCGUUUCUCAAACACCAUGUAGUGCGAGAAAACAAACGGAGGCGAUCGAGUCAUGUGGGGAAAAGUGCGCAAACCUCUGCAGAGUGUACAAACUAAUCAUGAUUAGCCGUGUCCCCGGUUAUGGACAGCUUGAGUAUCUAGUACUUGAAUAUCAUUGUGAAUCUCAUCAUGUUACUUAUAAUUAAUAUUGUUGGGUUUUAAUUAUUUUAAUCGGGAUUGAGAAUGCUAUCAACCAUUCUCAAUGUUUCACAACCACCUUGAUAGUUAAAUAAAUUAUUCCUUUGCAGUAGGGAAAAACUGGCUUUACGCAAAACUGUAACCAUAGAGCUUUCCAUCAGCCAUAUAUGCAUAUAGUAUAGCUGUUUCAUUUCAUUACUCUCUAUGUGUUACAUUGCCAGCAUAUUCCAUGUGCUGACCCGUUUUCGGGCUGCAACUUCUCAUGUUGCAGACUUUUCAGACGACGAGUAAGGUGCUUUUAGGUCAUGGCCCUAUACUCAGUGAUGCCGUUGGAGUUGAUGGACCCAUUUAUCUUCCGAGUCUUUCGCUGUUAUCGUUAUUAGAUGGCCUAAAGCCAUAUCUAUUGUAAAAGUUCUCUUUGAGACAACGAUGUAAUAAGUGUGUGAUUGCCACUCUGCUAUAAAUCCUUCGAUGUACUGUGUGGUGUCAGCAUUACUGAUCCAGGGAUGACACCUGAGCAUAGAGCACUUGAUCCAUUCGGGUCGGGUCGCUACAGAGAUGGUAUCAGAGCACACGCUGACUGUAGGACACGACCACUAAGUUAAUGCCAUAGAUCACCAUUCUCUUCUCAUUUUCUAAAUCCUCAUCUUUUCUACUCUUUUAGGAUGACGAACGCGAAGAUUAAGUACGCCCAACCGGAUGAAGGCACACCAUUUGGAUUUCACCUGAAGGAAGUCACCAAGUACCUGAACAUUGGAUUACCAAGCUUCACGGGAACAUUCAACGCCACUCUGCCUAAAGAGGAGCGCUGGAAGAUUCAAACUCACAUUCCGGGAAGGACAUUCGCACCAAUCACGAAGCCCAUAGAUAGUGUUUUCAAUGCACCAACCUGGAGUCUGGGAAGGAGCGUGGCAGCUCAUAUCACCAUAGGACGCAUUGGAGAAGUUUACCAAGAAGACCUGAAGGACACUAUCUACCAGAUUUGCGGACGCCGAGAUGAACAAUGGGAGUUAGUCAGCACCAAGAAGGAUAGAUCCAUUGCAUCUUUCAUCCAGGAGUUAAACCAGCACAUUCGACGCCACGAGAACCAGAUGUGCAAUGAUAUGAUAGAGUUGAACAAUGCAAAGGCAAGGAUCAUCGAGCUAGAAGGAGAACUGAAGUCUACACGCAAGGACUACAUGGACGAGAUCGUAGCUCUAGCAAGACACAAUGGCGAUCUUAAGCAGGAGAUUGAAGAACUCAAGAGGAAGUUAGCAUCCAGGAAGGAAGACAUGUACGUCGCAUGUCCGGACAACUACAUCAUCAUCGACGACACCGAUUCGGAUCCAAGUGAACCCGACUUUGAAGACGAAGCUGGAGCAGAUAUCAUGGAGUCUUCCACUGGUUCAAAUUUCUAUAUGACCACCAGAUAGUAGUAGCAUUUCCCCCCUGUAAACAUUAUAGUUCGAGCACUUUUGCGAUAGUUAGACCGUUUGUAAGCCCUUGUUUGAUUGAAUGAAGUGAUUUUGUGUGCAUUUGCUCAUGUGCAUUGGGGUAGUGUUUUCCCUUUAGACCUCACUCUAUUCUUAUAUCUCAUCUUUUCUAAACGCCUAUGUUAGUAAGCUCACCAGGAGCGGAGUAUAUGGCUACACGAUGGUGUGAUCGGUUACCAUUAAGGAUUGGUAACUAUGUGUUUCCCUCAGACCUAAUAGUAUUGGAAUCUCAAGGAUUGGAUGUGAUAUUAGGCAUGGAUUGGUUAUCAAAGUAUGAAGGGAAUAUUGAGUGUGCUAGUAAGUCAAUUUUGCUUACCACACCAGAAGGAAGAAGGAUCAAGUAUGUAUCCCGACAUGUGCCAAACAGGACACAAGUAAACUUCCUAACAGGAGUUGUGCAAGAAGAAGUACCAGUGGUAAAGGAUUUUCCUGAUGUAUUUCCCGAGGAAUUACCAGGCAUGCCACCGGAUAGAGACAUUGAGUUUUUGAUUGAGUUAUUGCCAGGUACAUGCCCAAUAUCGAAGCGACCGUACCGGAUGCCAGCAAAGGAUUUGGUGGAAAUUAAGAAUCAGAUUAAGGAGUUAUUGGAUAAAGGUUACAUUCGCCCAAGUUCUUUGCCUUGGGGAUCACCCGUACUUCUAGUGGAAAAGAAGGAUGGAUCAUUAAGGAUGGUUGUAGAUUAUCGGGGAUUGAAUGAAGUAACCAUCAAGAAUAAGUACCCACUGCCAAUGAUCAACGAUCUGUUUGAUCGAUUGCAAGGAGCUAAAGUGUUUUCCAAGAUCGAUUUGCGAUCAGGGUACCAUCAGUUGAAGAUUCGAGAGCAGGACAUACCUAAGACAGUGUUCACCACCAGAUAUGGACUGUAUGAGUAUACCGUUAUGUCAUUUGGAUUGACUAAUGCACCUGCCUAUUUUAUGAACCUGAUGAACAAAGUGUUAUGGAGUUUUUGGAUAAGUUCGUCGUAGUGUUCAUUGAUGACAUCCUGGUUUAUUCAAAGAAUGAAGAGGAGCAUAAGGAACAAUUGCGUAUGGUUUUGGAGAAACUAAGGGAACAUCAGUUAUACGCCAAAUUCAGCAAAUGUGAGUUUUGGUUGAAGGAAGUAGGAUUUCUCGGACACGUUAUAUCUGGAGAAGGUAUAGCAGUUGACCCCACUAAGGUUGAGACCGUAACCGAAUGGGAAUCGCCAACGACAGUUGGAGAGAUCCGGAGUUUUCUUGGACUCGCAGGAUACUACCGGAGGUUCAUUGAGAACUUUUCAAAGAUUGCAAAGCCUAUGACUGAAUUGUUGAAGAAGGAUACUAAGUUCAAUUGGACUGAGGAUUGUGAGGCUAGUUUCUAGGAGUUGAAGAAACGUUUGGUUACCUCACCAGUAUUGAUUUUGCCAGAUCAGACCAAGGAUUAUGAGGUGUAUUGCGACGCUUCACGUCGAGGACUUGGAGCAGGGCUUAUGCAGGAAGGGAGAGUUGUUUCAUAUGCUUCACGACAACUGAAGCCUCAUGAGUUGAAUUAUGCCACGCAUGAUUUGGAGUUAGCAGCCGUAGUGCAUGCAUUGAAAACGUGGAGACAUUUCCUCAUUGGAAAUCAUUGUGAGGUGUACAUGGAUCACAAGAGUUUGAAGUACAUUUUCACGCAGAAGGAUUUGAACCUCAGACAAAGGAGAUGGUUGGAGCUCAUCAAGGAUUAUGACAUGAGAUUGCAUUACCAUCCCGGAAAAGCUAAUGUAGUAGCUAACACAUUGAGCCGUAAGAGCCAUGUCAAAACUCUAAUGACGGGGAAAAUACCCAAGGAAUUAGCAGAAAACCUUCGUGAGCUAUGUUUGGAAAUAGUUCCGAGAGGCUAUGUAGCAACAUUGGAGAUUCAGUCAACAUUGAUGGAUAAGAUCAGAGAAGCUCAAAAAUCUGACAAGGAGAUUGCUGCUAUAAAAGAGAAAUUGAGCGAAGGAAAAGCAAAGGGAUUUCGUGAGGAUGAGCACGAUACCCUAUGGUUUGAGGACCGUGUUUAUGUGCCAAAUGACCCUGAGAUCAGGAAGUUGAUUUUGCAAGAGGCACAUGAUUCACCGUAUUCGAUUCACCCAGGGAAUACCAAGAUGUAUUUGGAUUUGAAGGAUAUUUUCUGGUGGACUGGAAUGAAGAAGGAUAUUGCAGAGUAUGUAGCAGUUUGUGAUGUAUGUCAGAGAGUAAAGGCAGAGCAUCAGAAGCCACCAGGAUUGUUACAGCCAUUGCCGAUACCCGAAUGGAAGUGGGAUAAGAUAGGCAUGGAUUUUAUCACGGGACUACCCAGGACAAAGGCAGGCUACGAUUUGAUAUGGGUAGUAGUUGAUCGUUUGACAAAGGUAGCACAUUUUAUUCCAGUUAAGACCACUUACACCAGUGCUAAGUUGGCGAAGAUAUACAUGACUAGGAUCAUUUGUUUGCAUGGAGUUCCGAGGAGUAUCGUAUCAGAUAGAGGAACCCAAUUUACCUCAAAGUUUUGGAAUCAGUUGCAUGAAACUUUAGGAACCAGACUAGAGUUCAGCACAGCUUUUCAUCCACAGACGGAUGGAUAGACCGAGAGAGUCAAUCAGAUUUUGGAGGAUAUGCUGAGAGCUUGUGCACUAGAUUAUGGAUCUAGUUGGGAUGAUAACUUGUCGUAUGCGGAAUUUUCUUAUAACAACAGUUACCAAACCAGUUUGAAGAUGGCACCUUUCGAAGCUUUAUAUGGAAGGAGGUGCAGGACACCGUUGUCAUGGGACGAAGUUGGAGACCGUCAAUUCUAUGGACCAGAUUUGAUUAAGGAGUCUGAACGGAAAGUUAAGUUGAUUCGCGAUAGGCUCAAGGUAGCCCAGUCCAGGCAGAAGAGCUACGCAGAUUCUAAACGCAAGGAGACAGUUUACGAAGUUGGAGAUAGAGCUUAUCUUCGAGUAUCCCCACUUCGAGGAGUUAAGCGCUUUGGAGUUAAGGGAAAGUUAGCACCGCGUUUCGUUGGACCGUACAAGAUCUUGCAACGUAUGGGAGAAGUCGCUUAUAAGUUGGAAUUACCAGAGGGACUGUCAGGAGUUCAUGAUGUAUUCCAUGUUUCUCAGCUGAAGAAAUGUCAUGCCGAGAUGGCGGAGGUACCGCUAAGAGAUACCGUGCCACUCGAAGCAAUUCAGUUGAAGGACGACUUAACGUAUGAGGAGAAGCCAGUCAAGAUUCUCGAUUAUGCCAGCAGGGUUACUCGCAGCAAGGUUAUCAAGUUUUGCAAAGUUCAGUGGAACCACCACUCAGAGGAUGAAGCCACCUGGGAAAGAGAAGAAGAUUUGCUCAAGGACCACCCUCACCUAUUUUCUAGCCAACCCGAAUCUCGAGGGCGAGAUUCAUCUUAAGGGGGGUAGGUUUGUAACAUCCCAAAUUUUUAAUUUGGAAUGUUAUACACUAGAUCAUCAUGCAUAGCAUAUUUUCUUGCAUUUUGGUCAAUCCUAGAAAUUUCACGCAACUCAAGGACCCUCAGAGAGAGUUGGAGAUUUCGUUAUUUUCAUAUUUGAGAGUUCUCUCAAAUUUUGGAAAAGAGGAUCAUUUGAUUUAUUUAUUUCAUCUUCAAUUAUUUUUCCAAUAUCAAAAAAUAUAAGAGAGGGAAUAAUAUGACUUUCCCAAAUUUAGGAAAAAUGAAGAUUUAAUGAAUAAAUCAAAUUUUGGUUUUGCCGGAGUUUUGUUUGCUUUUUAUUUGGAUAGGGAAAAAUGCGUGUUUUCAAAAAUUGCAUUCUAGGCCCGGAGUAAAGUUCAUUUUGUUCGACUCAUUUUUAGGAGUCGGGGAAAAUUUACUUUAGAAAUUUUGGAGCCCGUUUAGUUUUCUUUCCUUUUGUUAUUCUGCGCGCGUAACCGUUUAAAAAAAAGAGAGAGAGCUAGGCCAGCCGGGCCAAAGGCCCAGCCAGCCGGCCGCCUCCCCAGCCUCCCUGCGCACGUGCGCCAGGCGCAGGCAGCAGCGCCCCAGGCCACCGCCUCGCCUCUUAGCCGAGUCCGGCUUGGACUCUAGGCUAGCCCCCUCUUUCCUUUGUUUCGUUUUCCUUUUCCUACUCUAUUUCUUGUCCCCUACCCCAAGUAAACCCCCUCCCCUCACCAAUAUAAAUACCCCCACACACCCCCCUCCGAAACAUCAAAUCAAAACCCCAAGCCCCACACCACCCCGCGCCUCCCCAAGCCGCGCCCCACCCCGCGCCCCUCACCACCGCCGCCGCCGCCCCUCACCCACGCCGCCGCCCUUGUGCAUCGCCGCCGCCGCCCAACGCCGCCGUUCGCCGGAACCUCGCCGAGGUAGCCGCGCCGCGUCUCUUUUUCUCCCCUCGGUUUGGUUUUUCUUAUAAACCGUUCCGAUUCUUUUCUUCUCUUCCGAUUCGUUUUCUUUCCGGUUCUUUUCUAAAUCGUUCCGGUUUCUAGAUUGGUUUUCCGUUUCUUUUCGGUUUCUUUUCCGAAAACCCUAGGUCGGUUUUCAUUCUUCUUUCGGACCGUUCAUCUCAACGAACGUGAUCACCGAUUAUUCCCCAGUUAACGACGCCCGUUCGUUUAACCGUUCGUCUCUUUCUUUUUGUCGGAUUUAUUCCGUGAUCAUGAUCUCAGAUCCGAUCUUCGUUCUAGUCUUUCUUCUCGCUCGUUUAUCGGAAUCAGGUGAUUCAAGCGCCUGGAGUUUCGUUUCGAAACCGCCGUUCCGUCUAAUCAACUUAAACAAGUUUUUGUCCCGGUAAAAAUUGACCUAGUUUCAACUUGCUAGAACCGAGUUGUUUUCUUCCGCCGUUUGUUUUCUGUUUCUUUGUUCGGUUCGUUCUUUCUUUGCAACCGGAGUUCUUAAGUUGAACUUUCUGGUUCGUUCUCUUGUUUGAGUUUUACCUGUGCAUUAGAUGAGUACUUAUUGUGUGCUUGUUGUUUGUCUGCGAUAGAUCACCCGGAUUGCGCCGCUUGUUACUUCGAAACCCUAGGUCUCGCGGAUCAUCAGCAAGGCAAGUAACACUUUGAUCAUACCUUUUCUACAACCCAGUUUUAUUGCAUUAGAUAAAUCCUCACACAUUGCAUGAUUAGGAUCUAAUUAAACUGUGGGAUGGGAAGUAGAUGAGGUAGUACCUAUUACCUGUAUUACUAUGAAACCUUUGGGAGUUACUUCUACAUUUGCUUAUUAUGCCAUGCUAUGCUAGUAGACGUGGAUUGGGUGAGUGAUAUCCAUGACAGAUGUGAGUUGAUAAUUCUAAUGGUUUAUCUAAGGUGGCAACUUAAACACACAUCUGGGUGGAUUGAGGCAUCUGAUGUCUAUCAGGACUUGCCUGUUUUAUUUUGGACCGCCACCCAGGCUCAAAGGGAUCAUAAGAUCUUUCAUGCUAGAAACUUCCGUGUGCAGUCACAUACUACUAUGGGCUCUGGCAUAGUUGACUAAGUUGUGCAAACUCUUACGGGGUGGACUAGCAGAUGUAGGGGUUAUAGGUGGUACGGUCUACCCCACAUGUAAGGUGCUAGUGCUUCUGAAAGACUAUGUCUCGGUCAUCCGUUUCUCAAACACCAUGUAGUGCGAGAAAACAAACGGAGGCGAUCGAGUCAUGUGGGGAAAAGUGCGCAAACCUCUGCAGAGUGUACAAACUAAUCAUGAUUAGCCGUGUCCUCGAUUAUGGACAACUUGAGUAUCUAGUACUUGAAUAUCAUUGUGAAUCUCAUCAUGUUACUUAUAAUUAAUGUUGUUGGGUUUUAAUUAUUUUAAUCGGGAUUGAGAAUGCUGUCAACCAUUUUCAAUGUUUCACAACCACCUUGAUAGUUAAAUAAAUUAUUCCUUUGCAGUAGGGAAAAACUGGCUUUACGCAAAACUGUAACCAUAGAUCUUUCCACCAGCCAUAUAUGCAUAUAGUAUAGCUGUUUCAUUCUAUUACUCUCUAUGUGUUACAUUGCCAGCAUAUUCCAUGUGCUGACCCGUUUUCGGGCUGCAACUUCUCAUGUUGCAGACUUUUCAGACGACGAGUAAGGUGCUUUUAGGUCGUGGCCCUAUACUCAGUGAUGCUGUUGGAGUUGAUGGACCCAUUUAUCUUUCGAGUCUUCCGUUGUUAUCGUUAUUAGAUGGCCUUAAGCCAUAUCUAUUGUAAAAGUUCUCUUUGAGACAACGAUGUAAUAAGUGUGUGAUUUGCCACUCUGCUAUAAAUCCUUCGAUGUACUGUGUGGUGUCAGCAUUACUGAUCCAGGGAUGACACCUGAGCACAGAGCACUUGAUCCAUUCGGGUCGGGUCGCUACACACUCGGAUGACUAUAUUUCCACUCGGAAAGCACUAUCUUAUUCAAUCGGCAAGUUUUCGUCCCGAUGGUAAUCUUUUCACUCGGAAUAUUUUCACCUGGACGACAAUUUCACUCGGAUGAUCAUAUUUCCACUUAGAUGACUAUAUUUCCACUUGGAUAAUAAUAAGUUCAUCCGGUCAGCAAACUUUCACUCGACCGGUAAAUUUUCACUCGACCGUAAACUUUCACUCGGAUGGUAAACUUUUCACUCGGAUUUCCGACUAAAAACAUGGCCCGAUCUUGAUUUGUCUCUCCAGGCCUCAUACGACCUCGGAUUGAGACGAAUUAUAUAUGAAAAUCGAUCGGCUCGACGAGACGAAACUUUUCCGUGUUGAAGGUUUUUCGAUUCAAGGACGUCUUGAUGGUCUAAUUACUCGCGCAACCUAUCAGACAAGUGUGUGGCACCUCGCGCCAUAUUUCCGUUGAGGUUCGGUCUGCGGUGUAUUGCCUCUAACUUUUGCAUAUGAACUUGGAUUGAGAUGAUUUAUAUAUCAAAAUCGAUUGCCUCGACGAGACGAAGACAAUUCCUUAAGAGUGCUCCUUCAUCCGAGGUCAUAUUGAAGACGUGAUUGGCCAAAAACCACUCGGAACAUUGAAUUAUACCACUCGGAGUAUAGUUUCGGUCCGUAAGAUAAAGUCGGAUGUCAACGACUUAAACAUCAAAGUUAUUCCAUUCGACGACGCAAAACUUUUCAUGCUAAAAAACUCUUUCACUCUGUAUCUUGCCAAAAUCAGGUGUCAACACAUGCCCCCCUAUUUUUCGGCAAAACUUGCAUGCCGAAAAAUAAUAUGCAUAGUGUUCGUACUAAGGACGAUGUCAACACUCCAUCGGCCAUUUAUUUUUCUCAGGACAAUAAUUAUGUACCGGCCAUGUUUGUGCUAAGGGCGAUAAUAGUAUAUCGGCCAUUGCCUACUUAGGCUUCCUGCCAGACACUCGGGUGGUAUUUCUUCAAAUAUUUGCCAUUGAGAGCUCGAGGUAACAAUGCCCCUUCUAUUGAUUCCACCAAAUAUGAGUUUCCGGGAACAACUCUUGUAAUUCUAAAAGGACCUUCCCAACUUGGAGACCACUUCCUGAAUUUUCUAUCUUUCGAACCAAUCGGCGGAAUCACUUUCCAAACGAGAUCACCAACUUGAAAAUUCUUCAACUUGACUUUCUUAUUGUAAGCCCUUGCCACCCUCAACUUAUCUCUCUCUAUGGCAUUCAAAGCAGCCAAACGUUUAUCAUCAACCUCAUCAAUGUUGUCCAUCAUCAAGUUACAGAAGUCUAUUGCCGAUAAAUCAUUUUGUUUGGCUAUUCUCAAAGCAUUCAAAUUUACUUCCACCGGUAAAACAGCCUCCUGACCAUAUACUAGCUCAUAUGGAGUCACUUUCGUAGCACCAUGCCUUGAGAUUCUAUGUGCCCAUAAUGCCUCAGACAACAAGUCAUGCCAUCUCCUUGGAUUAUCCUUAAUCUUCUUCUUGAUGAGCUUGAUUAAAAUUUUAUUGCUAGACUCAGCUUGUCCAUUAGCUUGGGCAUAAUAUGGAGAGGAAUUGAGCAACUUUAUGUUAUAAGAUUCGGCAAACUCUCUGACUUGGUGUGACAUGAAAGAUGAACCUUGAUCUGUAGUUAACGUUUGAGGAAUAUCGAAUCUAUGAAUAAUGUGCUUGGUUAUGAAUUGAAUUACCUCCGUAUGCGUCAUGUUCUUGGGAGGUACUGCUUCAGACCAUUUAGUGAAAUAAUCAGUUGCCACCAAUACGAACCGAUGCCCUUUUGAGGAAGACGGAUGGAUUUGUCAAAUGAAAUCUAAACCCCAACCUCUGAAAGGCCACGGUUUGAUAAUAGGAUGUAACAUAGCAGCAGGAGCCAAUUGAAUAUCACCAAACUUUUGACAAGCUUCACACCCCUUAUAAUAUCUAAAGCAAUCAUUAAUCAUAGUCGGCCAAUAAAACCCAGCACGUUGCAAUAACCAUUUCAUCUUGGGAGUCGACUGGUGAGUGCCACAAAUACCUUCAUGUACUUCUCCCAUAGCAACUCUUGCCUGGUCCUCGUCCAAACACUUUAGAAGAACAUCAUCGACUGUUCGGCGAUAAAGAUCAUCAUCUCUCAUUGUAUACUUGAAAGCCAUACGCAGAACAGCCCUAUCCACCCUUUCACUCGGAUUGCACAAGUAAUCAACAAUGGGCUUCCUCCAGUCGGGAUUGUCACCUGCACUAGAUUUUUUGUUAAUGACCGAAUCAGUGGGUUCUGGUUCGGCCUCUUCUAUACUGGUAAGACAAGACAUCGGACUUUGAGAAAUAUGAAACAUGCCAUGAUCAACAUGGUAUCCAGAUGCUUGUUGUGCCAACUCAUUUGCUCUCCAGUUGUCAUGUCUAGAUAUAUGUGCAAUGCUAAAACAAUCCAAAGUAGAGAUUAUAUCUAGACAUUUAUCAAGAUAAACAUUAAGUGAUUCGUCCAAACACUGAAAGACUUUGGAUAUUUGCUGCACCACUAGUAACGAAUCACCAUAAGCCUCAAUAUGUGUAACACCUAUAGCAAGUAACAUCUCUAGGCCGAAUAACAAUGCUUCAUAUUCGGCUUGAUUGUUUGUGCAAAAAUAUUCUAAGCGGCAUGAGGCUUCAAAAACAGCACCAUGAGGAGAUAUAUAAACAAUACCAACACCUUGGCCAUUGCUACAAACUGAACCAUCAAAGUAUAAUCUCCAUGGUACUAAUGAAACAAGGUUCAUAUCAACAUCAUGCUUGUUAUUAAUCCAAUGUUCAACAAUGAAAUUAGCAACAAUUUGGCCUUUCAUAGAUUUUAGAGAUUCAUAAGCCAAAUCAUAUUCAAUCAAAGCAUAAGCCCACUUGCCAAUUCUACCACUAAGAAUUGGCCUAUGCAACAUGUAUUUAAUGACAUCGGUUUGACAAGCUACUACACAAACACUCGGCACUAAAUAAUGUCUCAGUUUUGUGCAAUCAUAAUAUAAGCAUAGACAUAAUUUCUCAAUAAAUGUAUACCUUGUCUCUGCGUCCAAUAAGCGGCAGCUCAAAUAAGUGAUGGCAUGCUCUUUUCCUUCGGUCUCUUGAGUUAGAACAGCACCAAUAACUCCUUCCUCUGCUGCAAUGUAAAGUCUGAAGGGUUCCCUAUGCUUGGGUGCUCUCAUCACCGGAGGAGUGCACAAAUAAUUCUUGAUCAUAUCAAAUGCUUCUUGCUGUUUUGCCCCCCCCCCCCAAGUGAAAUCAGCAUCAUUCUUUAACCGAAGGAUAGGAGUAAAUGCAUCAACUUUCCUUGAUAGAUUAGCUAUGAACCUUCUCAAAUAAUUAACUUUGCCAAGGAACUUUUGCAUAUCUCUCUUGCAUGUUGGAGCUUCCACUUUCUAUAUAGCCUCUAUCUUUUUGGGAUCAAUCUCUAUACCAUCUUCAUGAAUAAUGGAACCCAAAAACUUGCCAGCUGACACGCUGAAAGCACACUUCAAAGGAUUCAUUUUCAGUCCAUACUUUUUCAUUCUUUCAAAAGCUAAACGCAAAUCGGCCAAGUGAGAUUCAAAAGCAUCCGAUUUGACUACAAUAUCAUCAAUAUAAACUUCAAGUAUGACACCGAGUAAAUCAUGAAAAAUCAAAUUCAUAGCCCUUUGAUAUGUGGCGCCAGCAUUUUUUAAUCCAAAUGUCAUCACUGUCCACUCGAAUAAACCAAGGAAACUAGGGCAUCGAAAAGCUGUCUUGUACAUGUCCUCUUCGUCCAUAAAAAUUUGGUUGUAUCCGGCAUUACCAUCUAGAAAGCUAAUAACCUUAUGUCUAGAAGCAUCAUUAAUAAGCAUAACGGCUAUUGGCAUGGGAUACUCAUCUUUGCGUGUAGCCCUAUUCAAAUCUCUGAAGUCAAUGCACACCCUCAACUUACCGGACCCUUUCUUCUCCACUGGGACAAUGUUAGAAAUCCACUCGGCAUACCUGCAAGGUCGAAUGAAAUUAGCUUCAAGCAAUCGACCGAUCUCUUCCUUGAUCCGGUCAUAUGUUUUCGGAUUAAAUUUUCUGGCCGAUUGUUUAUAAGGUCUAAAACCGGCCUUUAUAGGCAACCGAUGCUCCACUAGCUCUCGGCUUAACCCUGGCAUCUCAUGAUAUUCCCAUGCAAAGCAACAAACAUAUUCUUUCAAUAGCUCGAUUAACUUAGCCUUACAAUCGGCUUUUAAAUUUUUGUUUAUAAAUGUCGGUCAAGUGACUGAACCAUCUCCAAUAUCUAGCUCUUCUAAUGGAUCGGCUGAUGUAAAACCUUGUCCAAGUUUAUCCAUGUCAUCCAACUCCUCUAUAGACUCAUACAUAUUGUUCUCAUUGGACUGAUACUUUACAAGACGUUUUUGUAACCACUUGGAAUGAGGAUCCAUUUAAACAUAUCAUACCUUGGAGCCGAUUGCAUUCACUCGGCUUUAAAGAGAUGGGCACAAAACCAUUCUUGGUCGCGCUGAGAAAAUCAAAUUCUGAUAAGUCACGUCCCGUCAAGCAAGUAGCAUUGGGAUGUUGCCAAUCCACCGAUGCAUCGUCCAAAGCAACACAGGCCGAGUUGUCCGCAUGAAUAAUUUCCACUUCAUCAUCAACCCACUGAAUCAAAAACUGGUGCAUAGUGGAUGGCACACACUGGUUUGCAUGAACCCAAUCGCGGCCUAGUAUGAUGUUGUAGUUACCUUGCACCUCAGCGACAAAGAAUGCAGUAGCCAAAGUUUUGCUUCCGACUGUAAGCUCCACAUACAUCACACCUUUGGCUUCAGUUUUCUCUUUGCCUUCAAAUCCGUUGAGCACCAUAUUGGUCUGGAUCAAUUCUUCAUCAGGCAAACCCAAUUUCUUGAAGACCGAAUAGGGCAUAAGAUUUACCACAGCACCACCAUCAACCAGCAUCCGAGUGAGCGGUGACCCAUUGAUAUGACCUUUGAGGUAUAAUGGUUUCAGAUGCGUUACUGGUUCUUUUGGCUUCUCAAAUAUCGUGUUUUUAGGGCCAAAAUCCAGCUGAGCCACCUCCCCUUCCUCAUCUACAGCAUGAAACUCAGCAGGUAAGUAAUACACCAUAUUGAUAUCCAUACCUUCAUGAACCGGUGUAGACUCAUAGUCCAACAUAUCAGCCUCCUCCUCAAGUGCAUCCAUCGAUUCAGAAAUUUGUCCAAAUGAAGAGGAAGCAAUAGGUAACGUAGAUGAUGCAAUGAUUGCGUUGUCCUCUUUUGGUAGUGUAAGUGCUACUGUGAUAGGCGUAGAAGUCACAGCAUCUUGUAUUUGUUUGGGCCUCCACACUUGUUUUGUAGGUACCAUGGGCCGAGUGUCAUUGAACAAAUUAUCCAUUUGCUUCUCGGCCUCUUGUUCUGCCAUCUCUUGACUCCUUAACCUUUGUAGUUUCCUCUUUUGUGUCUUUGUUAGCCCUGGAGGACACCACUUUGGCUGAGUGUAUUUAGGAUCUCUCGUUUUUACUCGGCUGGUGCUUGCUUCAUGGUCAUUAGCCGAGUGCUUUGGCGCGAUAGAAAGUAUCGGCUCAGUCGGAUUGCUAUGCACAAUCGGCUGCUGUAUGACGAAUGUUUCGGUGCCCAAGAUAAGUGAGUCGGCAUCCAUUUUCUCCUUGCCUUUUCCUGACUCAACUGCUGCAACACUUGGUGAUUUAACACGCCAUUCUUUUCGACUUUCCAGAUGCAUGAAAUUUCCACUCGGGCGCACCUUUUUACUCUGAUGGAAUCCACUCGAAUGGAUGUCACUCGGAUGGAAUCCACUUGGAUGGAAUUCAGUCGGAUGGAAUCUACUUGACCACAUUUUUUCACUCGGAUAACUUCCACCUGGGUGCAUUCUUACACUCGGAUAAUUUCCAUCCGGUCGCAUGUUUUGACUAGCCAACUGAUAGCCACCAAUGUUCAGUUGGCCUCUAUAUGAAUAGCCAAGUCGAUCCCAAACAGAUUGUGUAUGCUCUUCUGGAAAUGGCACCCUUGGUCCACUCGGUUUCAUAUACUGACUGAACAUAUCAGCUGAUGGUGACCUUGGUCGCUUCAGAUGAGUCGGACGAUUAAAGCUAGAACCGGCCGACUGGUUGGUGUACUUGGACAGCAACAUAUCAAAAGUUGGCUUGAUCCGCUUGCGCUGUACUUUAACUUCAUUCCUUUUCCACUUGCCAAUUUCUGGACUCUUGGGCUUGACAAAUCUCACACGAGCAUUUUUCUUGCACUUGUAGUUGCCCCCCGAGUGUAGGAUUCUUGAUGGUGAUUUUGAUCACUUCCUUGCCAUCGGGUUGCUUACCAAGCACAACCUGUCUCCCCAAGACCUUGUUGUCCUCCUUGUCUUUCCUGGGCUCACCAACAAUGACAUUAGCUUUAUUAGCAGAUUCGGCUACCUCCGGCCAAAUGAGUAGCUUCUUCCCCUCCAAACCCAUGGUAUUCAUUGGAAAGGGUUGUUUAUCAACUUGCAUCUCAGAAAAGUUCAAUCGUCCGUCAUUAAUGGACGAUUGUAUCUGUCAUCGAAAAACAUUGCAAUUGUUAGUAGCAUGAGAAAAAGAAUUAUGAUACUUGCAAUAAGCACGCCGUUUUAGCUCUUCAAACGGCGGUAAAGUAUGAGAUAUUCUAAUAAUCUUAGCCUGCAGCAAAGCAUCAAAUAUUCUAUCACACUUAGCAAUGUUAAAAGUGAACUUCAUCUCUUCAUCACGAUUCUUAUGAAUCGGUUUCAAAUCAUUGCAAGUAAAGGGUUUGGCCUUAGAUGGCCAAAAAAUUCAGUAGAAAAAACAUCACCCUCAUCAUCUGAAUGAUCACUGUCAUAUUCCACCAUAUUCAUCUUCGGACGAUCGGCUUUGUAUCUAUGUACUUCUUUGAGGUCUUUGCUUCGGCUUUCCUGAGCCAAAGCCCUUUGUAAGACUUGGUUGAUAUUUAAAAACUCGUAGCCUUCUACCUUUUCUCUAAUGGGAGUUCUCAAGCCACUCAGCACUAGGUCUGCCAAGUCCCUCUCGGUUAUCACCAAACUAAAACACCGGUUUUUUGUUUCUCUGAAUCUCUUGACGUAAUCGGAGACUGAUUCAUCAUGCUUCUGUUUAACCGAUGUCAGAUGUGACAACUUGAGUUCAUUGUCACCGCUAUAAAAGUGAUCAUGAAACUUCUGCUCUAGCUGCGACCAAACCCGAAUGGAACCAUGUGGUAAAGAAGAAAACCAUGAAAAUGUGGUACCAGUUAAUGAUAAAGGAAAUAAACGCACUUUCAAUUCAUUCAAUGAGCCUGCCUCACCCAAUUGUGCUAAAUAUUGACUAACAUGCUCCCAUGUGGUUUUUGUGCCCUCUCCAUUGAACUUAACAAAAUCUGGAAUCUUAUAUCCCGGAGGGCACUAGAUGGCAUCAAAGUACUCGGGGUACGGCUUUUGGUAAAUCCGAUUCCGAGGUAACUCAACUCCAAAAUUUUCUCGAAGCAUCUUAGCCAUCUCCUCUCUAAGAUUAGCUAGACCAUCAUCCAUAGUGGACGAUGCAGCUUGUGGCAGUGGCAUAGAAGGAGUAGGGUUACUAGUUGUAGGUAGGAAUUGUGGUAUGUACGUCGACCCAUAAUUUGGUAGUGGUCGAGUGGAUGUAGCUAUAAGUAGGGUUUGGUUCGGCGUUGCCACCGAACCUGUCAUGCUCAUAAUAGGAUUAAUGGGUGCAGCCACAAUCUGAUUUGUUUGGGUAGGAUAAUAAGCCAUCGGCACGGGAGGCGCCGAUGAAAUAGGUAAAGCCAGAUUAGGGUUUUGCACACUAGCAGCUACACCAUCAUUACCACUAGCCGAUUGAGAUAUAUUCUUCUGAGCAUUAGUAUUUUCUAUGAAAGUUUGAUAGACUAGAUUGUUACCACCAGCAAUACGACUCUCAAUCUCAGCCCACUGCUCAGGAGAAAAAGUAGUACUCACAGAGGGUUUAACCUGCUCGGCUUGAAGAAGAGGGAACUUGAUUUCUUCAACCGGAGUGAUGUUGCCUUGCCGAUCUUUCUUGAAUUUUGCAAGGAACUCCUGCAGGUCCUUCUCCUCGCGCACCUUCUUAUACUCCUCAUAGACUUGGUGAUGAUCGGCCGAUAUCUCAUCAAGACUAGGCUUAAUGAUGUUAUCGGCGUCUACCUCAGAUGGCUUGGGAAGAUCGGACAUGGUGGAUGAUGACGAUUGAUCUUGGAUCCCCAGCGGAGUCGCCAAAAAGUGUGUUGACACACGAACACGUCACGUGUACCCUCGAUGCUGGGGGUGAUGCACCGCAGCUCACGUCGAAGGAGACCCGACCGACAGCGCGAUACGCAAGACAGUCAGCGGGCGCUUUUGAAGACCCAAAACCCCACACGCCCGGGAGGGACCCUGUCAGGGAGUGCGGCGGCUAUGGGCUGCCCUAGGUCGAUUCGCUCGCCCCUAGAGCCACGGGAUUCGCAGCUCUCAAACACGAAGAACAGCGAAGAACGAGAUAGAAAAACGGUGGAGAGAUAAAAACGUAGAUGAAAAAGUAGUAUAUUGAUUUGUUCGAUUGUGUGUUGUUCAAUCGGCCGUCACCCCCAACAUAUAUAAGAGGCGGCUGGACUUCCCGUACAAGUAAAGGAUUCAUCUAGGCUUUCCUUACAAGAAAAAUUACAUCAAUUCACGUCCUAGAGUCCUAAUUCUAUUCCAACUCGGAUUCAGUCUGAAUCUGGCCCAAACUAUGUCUACCUUCUUGCGCGGGCCGCCGGGCUUGCAUAUGAUCUACGAUCGAGACGGUCCAAAUAUCAAACUGGUGCGCCUCUACGAUACGAACAACUCUCAUGUUGAUCACUUUUUCAAAUAAGGCCAUCUUGAAUACUUUUCGAGGUCAUCUUUAUCUUCCAGUCGGACUCGGUCUUGCAGUAGACUGGAUUAUCCGAGUCUCGUAGUGAAUUCGUAGGCUAUAUAUUAUCUCUGAUGAUGAUGACUCCAAAAUCAAAGUUUACCAUCUUGAUGAUACGCACAACUUCUGUAUUGAACACUUCUUCAUCCAAGGUCAUUUUGAUAAACUUUUGAGCACAUGUUCAAUUUCACUCGGACUUAAGCUCAUCCACUCGGAUAUUAGAUACUUUCACUCGGAUUGUCCGAUUGGACUUUUUCACUCGGAAGACAAUCUUCCACUCGGAUGACUAUAUUUCCACUCGGAAGGCACUAUCUUAUUCAAUCGGCAAGUUUUCGUCCCGAUGGUAAUUUUUUCACUCGGAAUAUUUUCACCUGGACGACAAUUUCACUCGGAUGAUCAUAUUUCCACUUGGAUGACUAUAUUUCCACUUGGAUAAUAAUAAGUUCAUCCGGUCAGCAAACUUCCACUCGACCGGUAAAUUUUCACUCGACCGUAAACUUUCACUCGGAUGGUAAACUUUUCACUCGGAUUUCCGACUGAAAACAUAGCCCGAUCUUGAUUUGUCUCUCCAGGCCUCAUACGACAUCGGAUUGAGACGAAUUAUAUAUGAAAAUCGAUCGGCUCAACGAGACAAAACUUUCCCGUGUUGAAGAUUUUUCGAUUCAAGGCCGUCUUGAUGGUCUAAUUACUCGCGCAACCUAUCAGACAAGUGUGUGGCACCUCGCGCCAUAUUUCCGUUGAGGUUCGGUCUGCAGUGUAUUGCCUCUAACUUUUGCAUAUGAACUCAGAUUGAGAUGAUUUAUAUAUCAAAAUCGAUUGCCUCGACGAGACGAAGACAAUUCCUUAAGAGUGCUCCUUCAUCCGAGGUCAUCUUGAAUACGUGAUUGGUCAAAAACCACUCGGAACAUUGAAUUAUGCCACUCAAAGUAUAGUUUCGGUCCGUAAGAUAAAGUCGGAUGUCAACGACUUAAACAUCAAAGUUAUUCCAUUCGACGACGCGAAACUUUUCAUGCUAAAAAACUCUUUCACUCUAUAUCUUGCCAAAAUCAGGUGUCAACAACUAGAGCUAUAAAUGUAUGAAAGCUUAACAAAAGAAACUAGUGGGUGUGUAUCCAACUCGCUUGCUCACGAAGACCUAGGGCAUUUUGAAAAAGCCCAUCAUUGGAAUAUACAAGCCAAGUUCUAUACUGAAAGAUUCCCACUAGUAUAUGAAAGUGACAACAUAGGAGACUCUCUAUUAUGAAGAUCAUGGUGCUACUUUGAAGCACAAGUGUGGUAAAAGGAUAGUAGCAUUGCCCCUUCUCUCUUUUUCUCUCAUUUUUUUAUUUAUUUUUUAUUUUUUAUUUGGGCCUUCUCUUUUUUUAUGGCCUCUUUUCUUUUUUUAUUUGGGCUUCUUUGGCCUCUUUUAUUUAUUUAUUUUCGUCCGGAGUCUCAUCCCGACUUAUGGGGGAAUCAUAGUCUCCAUCAUCCUUUCCUCACUGGGACAAUGCUCUAAUAAUGAUAAUCAUCACACUUUUAUUUACUUACAACUCAAGAAUUACAACUCGAUACUUAGAACAAGAGAUGACUCUAUAUGAAUGCCUCCGGCGGUGUACCGGGAUGUGCAAUGAUGCAUGAGUGACAUGUAUGAAAGAAUUAUGAACGGUGGCUUUGCCACAAAUACAAUGUCAACUACAUGAUCAUGCUAGCAAUAUGACAAUGAUGGAGCAUGUCAUAAUAAACGGAACGAUGGAAAGUUGUAUGGUAAUAUAUCUCGGAAUGGCUAUGGAAAUGCCAUAAUAGGUAGGUAUGAUGGCUGUUUUGAGGAAGAUAUAUGGUGGGUGUAUGAUACCGGUGAAAGGUGCGCGGUAUUAGAGAGGCUAGCAAAGGUGGAAGGGUAAGAGUGCGUAUAAUCUAUGGACUCAACAUUAGUCAUAAAGAACUCACAUAACUAUUGCAAAAAACUAUUAGUUAUUGAAGUAAAGUACUACGCGCAUGCUCCUAGGGGGAUAGAUUGGUAGGAAAAGACCAUCGCUCAUCUCCGACCGCCACUCAUAAGGAAGGCAAUCAAUAAAUAAAUCAUGCUCUGACUUCAUCACAUAACGGUUCACCAUACGUGCGUGCUACGGGAAUCACAAACUUCAACACAAGUAUUUCUCAAAUUCAUAACCACUCAACUAGCAUGACUCUAAUAUCACCAUCUCCAUAUCUCAAAACAAUCAUCAAGUAUCAAACUUCUCUUAGUAUUCAAUACUCUAUAUGAAAGUUUUUACUAACUUUGAAUACCUAGCAUAUUAGGAUUUUAAGAAAAAUACCAUGCAAUUAAUACUCUCAAAAUAAUCUAAGUGAAGCAUGAGAGUUCAUCUAUUUCUUCAAAAUAAAACUACCACCAUGCUCUAAAAGAUAUAAGUGAAGCACUAGAGCAAAUGAUAAACUACUCCGAAAGAUGUAAGUGAAGAUCAAUGAGUAGUCGAAUAAUUAUGCAACUAUGUGAAGACUCUCUAACAUUUAAUAAUUUCAGAUCUUAAUACUUUAUUCAAACAGCAAGCAAAACUAAAUAAAAUGACAUCUAGGAAUAGCAAACAUCAUGUGAAGAAGCAAAAACUUAGGAUCAACCGAAACUAACCGAUAGUUGUUGAAGAAGAAAAGUGGGAUGCCAACCAGGGCAUCCCCAAGCUUAGAUGCUUGAGACUUCUUGAAAUAUUAUCUUUGGAUGCCUUGGGUAUCCCCAAGAUUGAGCUUUUGUGUCUCCUUAGUUCCUCUCAUAUCAUGGUCUCCCUAAAUCUCAAAAGCUUCAUCCACACAAAACUCAACAAGGACUCAUGAGAUAAGUUAGUAUAAACCAUUGCAAAAACCUUAUCAUACUAUACUGUAGCAAAUCACUAAAAUUAUUAUUCAACAUUGCAUACUAAAUUCCUACAUAUUUAAUAGUCCUAUCCUCAAAUAGAAUCAUUAAAGAAGCAAACAUAUGCAAACAAUGCAAACAUAACAGCAGUCUGCCUAAACAGGAUAGUCUGUAAAGAAUGCUGCAACAUCCUAGCUCCAAAAAUUAUUAAAGAAAAUUCCCAUUUUAGUAAAUUUAUCAGAUCUUAAUAUGCAAAAGGUUUCAACAUUUUAUCACCUUCUGACUUUUCUAGGGAAUUAUUGCAACAGCGGUAAACUUUCUGUUUUCAAACAGCAACAUGUGGACUUCUAAAAUAGGCAUAGUAAAGACUAUCAAUGCCACUUUUAUUGAAAUAAAAGAUGCAAAACAUUGUUCUAAAUAACAGCAAGAAAAUCCUAACAAAAUAAAUUGACGCUCCAAGCAAAACACCUAUCAUGUGGCGAAUAAAAAUAUAGCUCCAAGUAAAGUUACCGAUGAACGAAGACGAAAGAGGGGAUGCCUUCCGGGACAUCCCCAAGCUUAAGCUCUUGGAUAUCCUUGAAUAUUACCUUGGGUUGCCUUGGGCAUCCCCAAGCUUAGGCUCUUGCCACUCCUUAUUCCAUAGUCCAUCGAAUCCUUACCCAAAACUUGAAAACUUCACAACACAAAACUUAACAGAGAACUCGUAAGCUUCGUUAGUAUAAGAAAAUAAAUCACCACUUAAAGGUACUAUAAUGAACUCAUUAUUUAUUUAUAUUGGUGUAAACCUACUGUAUUCCAACUUCUCUAUGGUUUGUCAACUAUUUUACUAGCCAUAGAUUCAUCGAAAUAAGCAAACAACACACGAAAAACAGAAUCUGUCAAAAACAGAACAAUCUGUAGUAAUCUGGAUCAAACGUAUACUUCUGGAACUCAUAACAUUCUAAAAUAAAUUUCUGGACCUGAGGAAUUUAUCUAUUAACCAUCUUCAAAAAGAAUUAACUAAAUAUCACUCUCCAAUAAAAAAUGGCAGCAAUUCUCGUGAGCGCUAAAGUUUCUGUUUUUGACAGCAUGAUCAACAAGACUUGCCCAAGUCUUCCCAAAGGUUCUACUUGGCACAAAAAGUAAUUAAAAGCAUAAAACCACAUCUAAACAGAGACUAGAUGAAUUAUUUAUUACUAAACAGGAACAAAAAUAAAGUUGGGUUGCCUCCCAACAAGCGCUAUCGUUUAACGCCCCUAGCUAGGCAUGAUGAUUUCAAUGAUGCUCACAUAAAAGAUAAGAAUUGAAACAUAAAGAGAGAAUCAUGAAGAAUAUGACUAGCACAUUUAAGUCUAACCCACUUCCUAUGAAUAGGGAUUUUGUGAUCAAACAACUUAUGAGAACAAUAAUCAACUAGCAUAGAAAGGCAAAACAAGUAUAACUUCAAGAUUUUAAGGACAUAGAGAGGAAACUUCAUAUUAUUGCAAUUCCUACAAGCAUAUAUUCCUCCCUCAUAAUACUUUUCAGUAGCAUCAUGAAUGAAUUAAACAAUAUAACUAUCACAUAAAGCAUUCUUUUCAUGAUCUACAAGCAUAGAAUUUUUAUUACUCUCCACAUAAGCAAACUUCUUCUCAUGAAUAGUAGUGGGAGCAAACUCAACAAAAUAACUAUCAUGUGAGGCAUAAUCUAAUUGAAAACUAAAAUCGUGAUGACAAGUUUCAUGGAUAUCAUUAUUAUUUAUAGCAUACAAGUCAUCACAAUAAUCAUCAUAGAUAGCAACUUUGUUCUCAUAAUCAAUUGGAACCUCUUCCGGAAUAGUGGAAUCAUUACUAAAUAAAGUCAUGACCUCUCCAAAUCCACUUUCAUCAAUAUAAUCAUCAUAAAUAGGAGGCAUGCUUUCAUCAUAAUAAAUUUUCUCAUCAAAACUUGGGGGACAAAAAAUAUUAUCUUCAUCAAACAUAGCUUCUCCAAGCUUGUGGCUUUGCAUAUCAUUAGUAUCAAGGAUAUUCAAGGAAUUCAUACUAACAACAUUGCAAUCAUGCUCAUCGUUCAAAGAUUUAGUGCCAAACAUUUUAAUGCAUUCUUCUUUGAGCACUUGAGCACAAUUAUCGGAAUCCUUAUUCUCACGAUAGAUAUUAAAAAGAUAAAGAGUAUGAGACAAACUCAAUUCCAUUUUUUAUAGUUUUCUUCUAUAAACUAAACUAGUGAUAAAACAAGAAACAAAAAGACUCGAUUGCAAGAUCUAAAGAUAUACCUUCAAGUGCUAACCUCCCCGGCAAUGGCGCCAGAAAAGAGCUUGAUGUCUACUACACAACCUUCUUCUUGUAGACGUUGUUGGGCCUCCAAGUGCAGAGGUUUGUAGGACAGUAGCAAAUUUCCCUCAAGUGGAUGACCUAACGUUUAUCAAUCCGUAGGAGGCGUAGGAUGAAGAUGGUCUCUCUCAAGCAACCCUGCAACCGAAUAACAAAGAGUCUCUUGUGUCCCCAACACACCCAAUACAAUGGUAAAUUGUAUAUGUGCACUAGUUCGGCGAAGAGAUGGUGAUACAAGUGCAAUAUGGAUGGUAGAUACAGGUUUUUGUAAUCUGAAAAUAUAAAAACAGCAAGGUAAUAAUGGUAAAAGUGAGCGUAAACGGUAUUGCAAUGCUAGGAAACAAGGCCUAGGGUUCAUACUUUCACUAGUGCAAGUCCUCUCAACAAUAAUAAUAUAAUUGGAUCAUAUAACUAUCCCUCAACAUGCAACAAAGAGUCACUCCAAAGUCACUAAUAGCAGAGAACGAAUGAAGAGAUUAUGGUAGGGUACGAAACCACCUCAAAGUUAUUCUUUCCAAUCAAUCCGUUGGGCUAUUCCUAUAGGUGUUACAAACAGCCCUAGAGUUCGUACUAGAAUAACACCUUAAGACACAAAUCAACCAAAACCCUAAUGUCACCUCAAGUAUCCGUGGGUAUGAUUAUACGAUAUGCAUCACACAAUCUCAGAUUCAUCAAUUCAACCAACACAAAGGACCUCAAAGAGUGCCCCAAAGUUUCUACUAGAGAAUCAUGACGAAAACGUGUGCCAACCCCUAUGCAUAGGUUCAUGGGUGGAACCCGCAAGUUGAUCACCAAAACAUACAUCAAGUGAAUCACGUGGUAUCCCAUUGUCACCACAGAUACGCACAACAAGACAUACAUCAAGUGUUCUCAAAUCUAUAAAGACUCAAUCCGAUAAGAUAACUUCAAAGGGGAAACUCAAUUCAUUACAAGAGAGUAGAGGGGGGAGAAACAUCAUAGGAUCCAAAUAUAAUAGCAAAGCUCGCGAUACAUCAAGAUCGUAUCAUCUCAAGAACACGAGAGAGAGAGAUCAAACACAUAGCUACUGGUACAUACCCUCAGCCCCGAGGGAGAACUACUCCCUCCUCGUCAUGGAGAGCACCAGGAUGAUGAAGAUGGCCACUGGAGAAGGAUUGCCCCCUCCGGUAGGGUGCCGGAACGGGUCUAGAUUGGUUUUCGGUGGCUACGGAGGCUUCUGGCGGCGGAACUCCCGAUCUAUUGUGCUCACGGAUGUUUUUAGUGUGUAUGGAGAUAUAUAGGCGGAAGAAGUACGUCAGGGGGGGCACGAGGGGCUCACGAGGGUGGAGGGGGCGCCCAGGGGGGUGGGCAUGCCCCCUGCCUUGUGACCUCCUUGUAGAUCCCCCGACGUGCACUCCAAGUCUUCUGGACUUCUUUCCUUCCAAAAAUGAGUGCCGUGAAGUUUCAGGUCAAUUAGACUCCGUUUGAUUUUCCUUUUCUUCGAAACCCUAAAACAGGGUAAAAACAGAAACUGGCACUGGGCUCUGGGUUAAUAGGUUAGUCCCAAAAAUGAUAUAAAAGUGUAUAAUAAAGCCUAUAAACAUUCAAAACAGUAAAUAAUAUAGCAUGGAGCAAUCAAAAAUUAUAGAUACGUUGGAGACGUAUCACCGGUCAAACCGCAUAACAACAUACGUUUGUUCCCUUUAUCAUCGGUAUGUUAAUUGCCCGAGAUUCGAUCGUCGGUAUCUCAAUACCUAGUUCAAUCUCGUUACCGGCAAGUCUCUUUAGUCGUUCCGUAAUACAUCAUCCCGCAACUAACUCAUUAGUUACAAUACUUGCAAGGCUUAUAGUGAUGUGCAUUACCGAGUGGGCCCAGAGAUACCUCCCCGACAAUCGAAGUGACAAAUCAUAAUCUCGAAAUACGCCAACCCAACAUGUGCCAUUGGAGACACCUGUAGAGCACCUUUAUAAUCACCCAGUUACGUUGUGACGUUUGGUAGCACACAAAGUGUUCCUUUGGUAAAUGGGUGUUGCAUAAUCUCAUAGUCAUAGGAACAUGUAUAAGUCAUGAAGAAAGCAAUAGCAGAAUACUAAAUGAUCAAGUGCUAAGCUAACGGAAUGGGUCAAGUCAAUAACAUCAUUCUCCUAAUGAUGUGAUCUCGUUAAUCAAAUGACAACUCAUGUCUAUGGCUAGGAAACAUAACCAUCUUUGAUCAACGAGCUAGUCAAGUAGAGGCAUACUAGUGACACUUUGUUUGUCUAUGUGUUCACACAAGUAUUAUGUUUCCGGUUAAUACAUUUCUAGCAUGAAUAAUAAACAUUUAUCAUGAUAUAAGGAAAUAAAUAAUAACUUUAUUAUUGCCUCUAGGGCAUAUUUCCUUCAGUCUCCCACUUGCACUAGAGUCAAUAAUCUAGUUCACAUCGCCAUGUGAUAUAACACCAAUAGUUCACAUCACCAUGUGAUUAACACCCAUAGUUCACAUAGUCAUGUGACCAACACCCAAAGGGUUUACUAGAGUCAAUAAUCUAGUUCACAUCACUAUGUGAUUAACACCCAAAGAGAUCAUAUUUUGCUUGUAAGAGAAGUUUAGUCAACGGGUCUGCCACAUUCAGAUCCAUAUGUAUUUUGCAAAUUUCUAUGUCAACAAUGCUCUGCACGGAGCUACUCUAGCUAAUUUCUCCCACAUUCAAUAUGCAUCCAGAUUGAGACUUAGAGUCAUCUGGACGAGUGUCAAAAUUUGCAUCGACGUAACCCUUUAUGACAAACCUUUUGUCACCUCCAUAAUCGAGAAACAUAUCCUUAUUCCACUAAGGAUAAUUUUGACCGUUGUCCAGUGAUCUACUCCUAGAUCACUAUUGUACUCCCUUGCCAAACUCAGUGUAGGGUAUACAAUAGAUCUGGUACACAGCAUGGCAUACUUUAUAGAACCUAUGGCUGAGGCAUAGGGAAUGACUUUCAUUCUCUUUCUAUCUUCUGUCGUGGUCGGGCUUUGAGUCUUACUCAAUUUCACACCUUGUAAUACAGUCAAGAACUCUUUCUUUGACUGUUCCAUUUUGAACUACUUCAAAAUCUUGUCAAGGUAUGUACUCAUUGAAAAAACUUAUCAAGCGUAUUGAUCUAUCUUAUAGAUCUUGAUGCUCAAUAUGUAUGCAGCUUCACCGAGGUCUUUCUUUGAAAAACUCCUUUCAAAUACUCCUUUAUGCUUUCCAGAAAUUUUUUCUUGUAAAUACAGGCUUCACCGCAAGUCUGUAUAAAACUAUAUGCUUUGAUCAACUCAUAAAAGCGUAUAUUCCAACUCCGAGAUGCUUGCACCAGUCCAUAGAUGGAUCGCUGGAGCUUGCACAUUUUGUUAGCACCUUUAGGAUCGGGCAUCAUAUACAACUCUUCUUUAAGAAAUCCAUUAAGGAAUGUAGUUUUGACAUCCAUUUUCCCGAUUUCAUAAAAUGUGGCAAUUUGCUAACAUGAUUUGGAUAGACUUAAGCAUCGCUAUGAGUGAGAAAAUCUCAUCGUAGUCAACACCUUGAACUUUGUCAAAAACCUUUUUUCGACAAGUCUAGCUUUGUAGAUAGUAACACUACUAUCAGCGUCCGUCUUCCUCUUGAAGAUCCAUUUAUUUUCUAUGGCUUGCCGAUCAUCGGGCAAGUCAACCGAAGUCCACACUUUGUUCUCAUACAUGGAUCCCAUCUCAGAUUUAAUGGACUCAAGCCAUUUCGCGGAAUCUGGGCCCAUCAUCGCUUCCUCAUAGUUCACAGGUUCGUCAUGGUCUAGUAACAUGACUUCCAGAACAGGAUUACCAUACCACUCCGGUGCGGAUCUCACCCUGUUUUACCUACGAGGUUCAGUAGUAACUUGAUCUGAAGUUACAUGAUCAUCAUCAUUAGCUUCCUCACUAAUUGGUGUAGUAGUCACGGGAACAGAUUUCUAUGAUGAACUACUUUCCAAUAAGGGAGCAGGUACAGUUACCUCAUCAAGUUCUAUGUUCCUCCUUGUCGGUGUCAAAACCGGUGGAUCUCGGGUAGGGGGUCCCGAACUGUGCGCCUAGGCCGGAUGGUUACAUGAGGCAGGGGACACAAUGUUUUACCCAGGUUUGGGCCCUCUUGAUGGAGGUAAAACCCUACGUCCUGCUUGAUUAAUAUUGACGAUAUGGGUAGUACAAGAGUAGAUCUACCACGAGAUCGGAGAGGCUAAACCCUAGAAGCUAGCCUAUGGUAUGAUUGUAUGUUGUGGUUGUUGUCCCCUACGGACUAAAACCCUUCAGUUUAUAUAGAUACCGGAGAGGGUUAGGGUUACACAAGGUCGGUAACAAAGGAGGAGAUAUCCAUAUCCGUAUUGCCUAGCUUGCCUUCCACGCCAAGUAGAGUCCUGUCCGGACACGAGACGAAGUCUUCAAUCUUGUAUCUUCAUAUUCUAACAGUCCGGCCAAUGGAGAUAGUCCGGCUGUCCGGAGACCCCCUAAUCCAGGACUCCCUCAGUAGCCCCUGAACCAGGCUUCAACGACGAUGAGUCCGGCGCGUAGUAUUGUCUUCGGCAUUGCAAGGCGGGUUCCUUCUCCGAAUACAUCACAGAAGAAUUUGAAUACGAGGAUAGUGUCUGACCCUGCAAAAUAAGUUCCACAUACCACCGUAGAGAGAAUAAUAUUUUCGCAAAUCUAAUUUGCUGACUUGUUUUGACAGUAUGACGUUAUGUCAUGGCCCGGUGAUUACUCGAACCGUUUCCUUUAACCAGCCCCGCACAUAACGCGAGGCAGUUUUUCGACAUGUCUUGUCAAAGCGGAGAUCGUGUCCCCUUAUUACAGGAUUCUCAUCAAUACGGGCGUGGGUAACCCAACCGCGCCAUCAAUUACGGCGCUUGGGGGAUAAGCGAGUUUUACCAGGCAAGUGGGGACGCUUAGCUUCCUCCGCCCAUAUAAAGGGAUAAGGAUUCACCUUUCUAUCCACGCCUUCUUCCUCCUUUGCUCAUCCGUUUUCACACACUCGAGCUCUAGCGCCCAAGUCCGCACUUCCCACCUCAACCUUCUCCAACCAUGUCCGGAGCGGGAGGCGGGUGGAUGGUCUCCUCCGUCACGGAUGGAGACAUCAAGAAACUGAGGAGAGCCGGAUACCUGCCCGACGAAUCGUGCACCGGCUCCCAGAUGAGGGGCAGCUCAUCCCCACCCCCAGGCCCCAUGAGAGGGUAGUGUUCCUCACCCAUUUCCUCCGCGGACUGGGAUUCCCUCUCCAUCAAUUCGUCCAGGGUCUCAUGUUCUAUUACGGCCUAGAUUUCCACGAUCUGGCCCCGAACUUCAUCCUCAACAUCUCGGCGUUUAUCGUCGUGUGCGAGGCCUUCCUCCGCAUCAAGCCCCACUUUGGCUUAUGGUUGAAGACCUUCAAUGUCAAGCCGAGGGUUGUGGGGGGCCGCCAGGCGGAGUGCGGAGGCGCCAUGGUGGGCAAGAUGCCCAACGUAACAUGGCUCGAGGGAUCCUUUGUGGAAACCAUAAAGGGGUGGUGAGGGAGUCCUGGAUUAGGGGGUCUCCCGACUGCCGGACUAUCUCCAUUGGUCGGACUGUUAGACUAUGAAGAUACAAGAUUGAAGACUUCGUCUCGUGUCCGGAUGGGACUCUACUUGGCGUGGAAGGCAAGCUAGGCAAUACGGAUAUGGAUAUCUCCUCCUUUGUAACCGACCUUGUGUAACCCUAACCCUCUCCGAUGUCUAUAUAAACCGAAGGGUUUUAGUCCAUAGGGGACAACAACCACAACAUACAAUCAUACCAUAGGCUAGCUUCUAGGGUUUAGCCUCUCCGAUCUCGUGGUAGAUCUACUCUUGUACUACCCAUAUUAUCAAUAUUAAUCAAGCAGGACGUAGGGUUUUACCUCCAUCAAGAGGGCCCAAACCUGGGUAAAACAUUGUGUCCCCUCCCUCCUGUUACCAUCUGGCCUAGACGCACAGUUCGGGACCCCCUACCCGAGAUCCGCCGGUUUUGACACCGACAUUGGUGCUUUCAUUGAGAGUUCCUCUGUGUCGUCGCCGUUAGGCUUGAUGGCUCCUACUAUCAUCGAUAGCGAUGCGGUCCAGGGUGAGAUUUUUCUCCCCGGGCAGAUCUUCGUGUUCGGCGGCUUUGCGCUGCGGGCCAAUUCGCUUGGCCAUCUGGAGCAGAUUGAAAGCUACGCCCCCAUCCAUCAGGUCAAAUUUGGAAGUUUGAACUACACGGUCGACAUCCGCGGAGACUUGAUCUUCGACGGAUUCGAGCCAUAGCCGGGCGCGCCGCACUGUCACGAUGGGUAUGAACUAGCUCUGCCGCCGAACAGUACCCCAGAGGCCGCGCCCGCAUCAGCUCCGACCCUUAGCUCGGAGCCAACUGCGCAAAUCGAGGAUGGCUGGCUAGACACCGCCUCAGGGGAUGCAGUCUCAACGGCGAUCGAGCCGAACACCAGCCUAAUCCUCUGCGAAGCCCGUGACUCCAAAGUGCCGGACUCUUUUCCGGACUCCGAACCACCCGCGUCCCUGCCAAUCGAAUCCGAUUGGGCGCCGAUCAUGGAAUUCACCGCCGCAGAUAUCUUUCAGCACUCGCCCUUCGGCGAAAUUCUGAAUUCACUAAGGUCUCUCUCUUUGUCAGGAGAGCCCUGGCCGGAUUAUGGCCAACAGGAUUGGGAUGCGGACGACGAAGAAAUUCGACGUCCACCCACCACCCACUUCGUAGCCACUGUCAAUUUAACCAACAUGCUCGCCUUCGACUCCGAAGACAUCGACGGUAUGGACGACGAUGUAGGAGACGAACAUGAACCAGUGCCUAUAGGGCACUGGAAAGCCACCUCGUCAUAUGACAUAUACAUGGUGGAUACACCCAAAGAAGGCAAUGGCGACGAGAUAGCGGAGGAUGACCCCUCCAAGAAGCAAACCAAGCGCCAACGUCGGUGGCGCCGCUCUAAGUCCCGCCAAAGCAAAAGUGGUGAUACCGGCACAUGAGAUAAUAACACUCCGGAUAGUGCCGAAGACAACAACAAUCCCCUCCAGCAAGAUUUAGAGUAGGAGGAUGGAGGAGCCAGCCCUCCUGAGAGAGCAACAGACGGAGAGGAGGAGGAUGACAAUUACAUGCCCCCCUCCGAAGACGAGGCAAGCCUCGGCGACGAUGAAUUCGCCGUACCAGAGGAUCCCGUCGAACAAGAGCGCUUCAAGCGUCGGCUUAUGGCCAUGGCAAAUAGCCUGAAGAAAAAGCAGCAGCAGCUUCAAGCUGAUCAAGAUCUGCUAGGUGACAGAUGGACUGAAGUCCUAGUGGCCGAGGAUAUAAACUCGGGUGCCCCUCCAAGAAUUACCCAAAGUGCAGGUUACUACCCUGACUGGAGGAAGAAGCGUAUGAUACGGCUGAUCAGCCACCUCAUGGCCGCGAUAGAGAGGCAUUCCAGCCAAAAACUCAGCCUCCACCCCGAUGCCAUUCAAAUAAAAAGGCAUGGGAAGAUACGCCAGACCUGCGAGACAUAUUGGAGGACAAACCAAAGCAUGCAAGAUCGAUCUACGGAUCACGAGGGCGCACCACUCUGCGAGACGAUAAACAUCACGCCGGAUACAGUAAAAGCAAAUUCGGCCGGGCCGAACACAGCGGGCAAGACCCAUUCGAGCUGCGUCGCGAUAUAGCCCAAUACAGAGGCGCCGCACACCCCUUAUGCUUCACAGAUGAAGUAAUGGAUCAUCAAUUCCCAGAAGGUUUCAAACCUGUAAAUAUUGAAUCAUACGACGGCACAACAGAUCUCGCAGUAUGGAUCGAGGAUUUCCUCCUCCACAUCCACAUGGCCCGCGGUGAUGACUUACACGCCAUCAAAUACCUCCCACUAAAGCUCAAAGGACCAGCGCGGCAUUGGCUUAACAGCUUGCCAUCGGACUCCAUUACCUAUUGGGAAGAUCUGGAAGCCGCAUUCCUCGACAACUUUCAGGGCACUUAUGUGCGACCACCACACGCCGAUGACUUGAGCCACAUAAUUCAGCAGCCAGAAGAGUCGGCCAGGCAAUUCUGGACUCGGUUCCUUACAAAGAAAAAUCAAAUCGUCGACUGUCCGGAUGCAGAGGCCUUAGCGGCUUUCAAACACAACUAUGCGUCUAGGCCAGAUGGUAACAGGAGGCAGGGGACACAAUGUUUUACCUAGGUUCGGGCCCUCUUGAUGGAGGUAAAACCCUACGUCCUGCUUGAUUAAUAUUGAUGAUAUGGGUAGUACAAGAGUAGAUCUACCACGAGAUCAGAGAGGCUAAACCCUAGAAGCUAGCCUAUGGUAUGAUUGUAUGUUGUGGUUGUUGUCCCCUACGGACUAAAACCCUUCGGUUUAUAUAGACACCGGAGAGGGUUAGGGUUACACAAGGUCGGUUACAAAGGAGGAGAUAUCCAUAUCUGUAUUGCCUAGCUUGCCUUCCACGCCAAGUAGAGUCCUGUCUGGACACGAGACGAAGUCUUCAAUCUUGUAUCUUCAUAGUCUAACAGUCCGGCCAAUGGAGAUAGUCCGGCUGUCCGGAGACUCCCUAAUCCAGGACUCCCUCACUCCCACUCACUUCUUUCGAGAGAAACUCCUUCUCUAGAAAGGAUCCAUUUUUAGCAACGAAUAACUUGCCUUCGGAUCUGUGAUAGAAGGUGUACCCAACUGUCUCCUUUGGGUAUCCUAUGAAGACACAUUUCUCCGAUUUGGGUUUGAGCUUAUCAGGAUGAAAUUUUUUCUUAUAAGCAUCGCAACCCCAAACUUUAAUAAAUGACAACUUUGGUUUCUUGCCAAACCACAGUUCAUAUGGUGUCAUCUCAACGGAUUUAGAUGGUGCCCUUUUUAAUGUGAAUGCAGCUGUCUCUAAUGCAUAACCCCAAACUAUAGUGGUAAAUCGGUAAGAAACAUCAUAGAUUGCACUAUAUCCAAUAAAGUACGCUUAUGACGUUCGGACACACCAUUAUGCUGUGGUGUUCCAGGUGGCACGAAUUUUUGAAACUUAUUCCAUAUUGUUUUAAUUGAAGACCAAACUCAUAACUCAAAUAUUUGUAUCUACGAUCAGAUCAUAGAAACUUUAUUUUCUUGUCACAAUGAUUUUCCACUUCACUCUGAAAUUCUUUAAACUUUUCAAAUGUUUCAGACUUAUGUUUCAUCAAGUAGAUAUACCCAUAUCUGCUCAAAUCAUCUGUGAAGGUCAGAAAAUAACGAUACCCGCCGCGAGCCUCAACACUCAUCGGACCGCAUACAUCAGUAUGUAUUAUUUCCAAUAAGUCAGUUGCUCGCUCCAUUGUUCCGGAGAACAGAGUGUUAGUCAUCUUGCCCAUGAGGCAUGGUUCGCAAGCAUCAAGUGAUUCCAAAAUCCCAUCGGCAUGGAGUUUCUUCAUGCGCUUUACACCAAUAUGACCUAAACGGCAGUGCCACAAAUAAGUUGCACUAUCAUUAUUAAAUUUGCAUCUUUUGGUUUCAAUAUUAUGAAUAUGUGUAUCACUACGAUCGAGAUCCAACGAACCAUUUUCAUUGGGUGUGUAAUCAUAUAAAGUUUUAUUCAUGUAAACAGAACAACAAUUAUUCUCUAACUUAAAUGAAUAAUCGUAUUGCAAUAAACAUGAUCAAAUCAUAUUCAUGCUCAACGCAAACACUAAAUAACACUUACUUAGGUUCAACACUAAUCCCGAAAGUAUAGGGAGUGUGCGAUGAUGAUCAUAUCAAUCUUGGAACUACUUCCAACACACAUCGUCACCUCGCCCUUAACUAGUUUCUGUUCAUUCUGCAACUCCCGUUUCGAGUUACUAAUCUUAGCAACUAGUAUCAAAUAGUGAGGGGUUGCUAUAAACACUAGUAAAGUACACAUCAAUAACAUGUAUAUCAAAUAUACCUUUGUUCACUUUGCCAUCCUUCUUAUCCGCCAAAUACUUGGGGCAGUUCCGCUUCCAGUGACCAGUCCCUUUGCAGUAGAAGCACUUAGUCUCAGGCUUAGGUCCAGACUUGGGCUUCUUCACUUGCGCAACAACUUGCUUGCCGUUCUUCUUGAAGUUCCCCUUCUUUCCCUUUGCCCUUUUCUUGAAACUAGUGGUCUUGUUAAUCAUCAACACUUGAUGCUCUUUCUUGAUUUCUACCUUCAUCGAUUUCAUCAUCAUGAAAAGCUCGGGAAUCGUUUUCGUCAUCCCUUGCAUACUAUAGUUCAUCAUGAAGUUUGAUACGUCUCCAACGUAUCUAUAAUUUUUUAUUGCUCCAUGCUAUAUUAUCUACUGUUUUGGACAUUAUUGGGCUUUAUUAUCCACUUUUAUAUUAUUUUUGGGACUAACCUAUUAACCGGAGGCCCAGCCCAGAAUUGCUAUUUUUGCCUGUUUUAGGGUUUCGAAGAAAAGGAAUAUCAAACGGAGUCCAAACGGAAUGAAACCUUCGGGAACGUGCUUUUCUCAAAGGAUACGACCAAAGAGACUUGGACCCUACGUCAAGAAGGAAAUAGGAGGCCACGAGGUAGGGGGGGGCGCCCCCCCCAGGCGCGCCCUCCACCCUCGUGGGCCCCCUGUUGCUCCACCGACGUACUCCUUCCUCCUAUAUAUAUCCACGUACCCCCAAACGAUCAGACAUGGAGCCAAAACCCUAAUUCCACAGCCGUAACUUUCUGUAUCCACGAGAUCCCAUGUUGGGGCCUGUUCUGGAGCUCCGCCAGAGGGGGGCAUCGAUCACGGAGGGCUUCUACAUCAACACCAUAGCCCCUCCAAUGAAGUGUGAGUAGUUUACUUCAGACCUACGGGUCCAUAGUUAGUAGCUAGAUGGCGUCUUCUCUCUUUUUGGAUCUCAAUACAAUGUUCUCCCCCUCUCUUGUGGAGAUCUAUUCGAUGUAAUCUUCUUUUUGCAGUGUGUUUGUUGAGACCGAUGAAUUGUGGGUUUAUGAUCAAGUCUAUCUAUGAAUAAUAUUUGAAUCUUCUCUGAAUUCUUUUAUGUAUGAUUGGUUAUCUUUGCAAGUCUCUUCGAAUUAUCAGUUUGGUUUGGCCUACUAGAUUGAUCUUUCUUGCAAUGGGAGAAGUGCUUAGCUUUGGGUUCAAUCUUGUGGUGUCCUUUCCCGGUGACAGUAAGGGCAGCAAGGCACGUAUUUUAUUGUUGCCAUCGAGGAUAACAAGAUGGGGUUUUCUUCAUAUUGCAUGAGUCUAUCCCUCUACAUGAAGUCAUCUUGCUUAAGGUGUUACUCUAUUUUUAACUUAAUACUCUAGAUGCAUGCUGGAUAGCGGUCGAUGAGUGGAGUAAUAGUAGUAGAUGCAGGCAGGAGUCGGUCUACUUGUCUCGGACGUGAUGCCUAUAUACAUGAUCAUACCUAGAUAUUCUCAUAACUAUGCUCAAUUCUGUCAAUUGCUCAACAGUAAUUUGUUCACCCACCGUAGAAUACUUAUGCUCUCGAGAGAAGGCCUAGUGAAACCUAUGGCCCCCAGGUCUAUCUUUAUCAUAUUGAUCUCCUAUUACUUAGUUAUUUCCUUUGCUAUUUACUUUGCCUUUAUUUUACUUUGCAUCUUUUAUCAUAAAAAUACCAAAAAUAUUAUCUUAUCAUAUCUAUCAAAUCUCACUCUCGUAAGUGGCCCUAGAGGGAUUGACAACCCCUAUUUGCGUUGGUUGGAGGAUUUAUUUGUUUUGUGCAGGUGCAAGGGACUCGCGCGUAGCCUCCUACUGGAUUGAUACCUUGGUUCUCAAAAACUGAGGGAAAUACUUACGCUACUUUGCUGCAUCAUCCCUUCCUCUUCGAGGAAAACCAACGCAGUGCUCAAGAGGUAGCAAGAAGGAUUUCUGGCGCCGUUGCUAGGGAGGUCUACGCAAAAGUCAACAUACCAAGUACCCAUCACAUACCCUUAUCUCCCGCAUUACAUUAUUUGCCAUUUGCCUCUCGUUUUCCUCUCCCCCACUUCGCCCUUGCCAUUUUAUUUGCCCUCUCUCUCUAUCCUCCCUCUCUGUUUGCCUCUUUUCGCCCGCUUGCUUUCUAUUUGCUUGUGUGUUAGUUUGUUUGCUUGUCGUUAUGGCUAGUCCCUUAUCUUCUCCGUUGUCUCCCGAGAAUGAAAUUCUAAAUUUUAAGCAAAGGGAGGGAGAAAAUCUAAAAGAUGCUUGGUAUAGAAUUUGCAAUGCUCAAAAUAGAUCCACUAGGAAGCAAUCUACUUACGUUAUUCUUCGCAAUUUUUAUGUAGGCAUUACUCCUUGGCACCGUUAUGUUCUUGAUACUAUUACUGGAGGGAACUUUUUGGGUAGCCAUACUUUUGAUUCUUAUAAUGCUAUGUUAGAUUUAUUUGGCUCGCCCCCUCUCUUGGUUAAUGGAACUAUAUUAACUUUGGAGCAUGUAAUGCAAAGGCUUGAGAUUAUUGAAAAUAAGGUUGCUACCAUAGAGUUAAUUGAAAAUUUGGAUAAAAAGAUCCACAGCCGAAUCUCUCAAUAUGGAUCUAAAGUAGGAGUUACUUUGAAAGAUAUUAAAGAAAAGGAACCCAUAGUUAAUGAGAAAAUAAAUCACGAUUCCGUUAGGAUCGAUAAACUUGAGAAUAUUAUUACCAACUUGGGAACCGCUUUUUCUUCCGUAAAGAAUACUCCAAGUCCUUCCACUAAAGUUGCCAAGCUUAUGUACGUUCCUAAAAAUAAGGGUGAAUCAUCUAGUAAGGAAAAUGCGGAUCUCAAAUCUAUAAGUAUUCAUCCCAAUCUUUUUGCUAUCAUUAAGGAACCAUUUGUUACAAAUGAAUUUUUCGAUCUCGUGCCUAAAAGUUUUAUAAUUAAUAAAAAUAAAGAAAUUCCUAAAGAUGGUAGAUGCCUCAUCGAAGAAUUGCUUACAAAAGAUGGCAAUACUUAGAUCUAUUCUUGCUUGUUAUGCCUAGCUAGGGGCGUUAAACGAUAGCGCUUGUUGGGAGGCAACCCAAUUUUAUUUUUAUUACUUGAUUUUUUCUCCUGUUUAGUAAUAAAUAAUUUAUCUAGAUUCUGUUUUGGUUGUGUUUUUUGUGUUUAAUUAGUGUUUGUGCCAAGUAGAACCGUUGGGAAGACUUGGGGAAAGUCUUGUUGAACUUGCUUUAAAAAACAGAAACUUUAGCGCUCAUGAGAACUGCUGUCAUUUUUAUUUGGAAAGUGAUAUUUAGUUAAUUCUUUUUUCAUAUGAUUAAUAGAUAAAUUCCUCACGUCCAGCAAUUUAUUUUAGAAUUUUUGGGGUUCCAGAUCUUGCUCUAGCUACAGAUUACUACAGACUGUUCUGUUUUUGACAGAUUCUGUUUUUCGUGUGUUGUUUGCUUAUUUUGAUGAAUCUAUGGCUAGUAAAAUAGUUUAUAAACCAUAGAGAAGUUGGAAUACAGUAGGUAUAACACCAAUAUAAAUAAAUAAUGAGUUAAUUACAGUACCUUGAAGUGGUCUUUUAUUUUCUUUCGCUAACGGAGCUCAUGAGGUUUUCUACUUUAAGUUUUGUGUUGUGAAGUUUUUAAGUUUUGGGUAAAGAUUUGAUGGAUUAUGGAACAAGGAGUGGAAAGAGCCUAAGCUUGGGGAUGCCCAUGGCACCCCCAAGAUAAUAUAAGGACACCUAAAAGCCAAAGCUUGGGGAUGCCCCGGAAGGCAUCCCCUCUUUCGUCUACUUCUAUCGGUAACUUUACUUGGAGCUAUAUUUUUAUUCGCCACAUGAUAUGUGUUUUGCUUGGAGCGUCUUGUAUUAUUUGAGUCUUUGCUUUUUAGUCUACCACAAUCAUCCUUGCUGUACACACCUUUUGAGAGAGCCAUACAUGAUUUGGAAUUUGUUAGAAUACUCUAUGUGCUUCGCUUAUAUCUUUUGAGUUAUAUAAUUUUGCUCUACUACUUCACUUAUAUCUUUUAGAGCACGGUGGUGGAUUUGUUUUAUACAAACUAUUUAUCUCUCAUGCUUCACUUAGAUUAUUUUGAGAGUCUUAAUAGCAUGGUAAUUUGCUUAAAAUCCUAAUAUGCUAGGUAUUCAAAGUUAGUAAAAUUUUCUUAAGAGUGUUUUGAAUACUAAGAGAAGUUUGAUGAUUGAUGAUUGUUUUGAGAUAUGGAGGUAAUAAUAUCAAAGUCGUGCUAGUUGAGUAGUUGUGAAAUUGAGAAGUACUUGUGUUGAAGUUUGCAAGUCCCGUAGCAUGCAUGUAUGGUAAACGUUAUGCAACAAAUUUGAAACAUGAGGUGUUAUUUGAUUGUCUUCCUUAUGAGUGGCGGUCGGGGACGAGCGAUGGUCUUUUCCUACCAAUCUAUCCCCCUAGCAGCAUGCGCGUAGUACCGAGGUUUUUGAUGACUUGUAGAUUUUUGCAAUAAGUAUGUGAGUUCUUUAUGACUAAUGUUGAGUCCAUGGAUUAUACGCACUCUCACCCUUCCAUCCUUGCUAGCCUCUUCGGUACCGUGCAUUGCCCUUUCUCACAUUGAGAGUUGGCGCAAACUUCGCCGGUGCAUCCAAACCCCGUGAUAUGAUACGCUCUUUCACACAUAAACCUCCUUAUAUCUUCCUCAAAACAGCCACCAUACCUACCUAUUAUGACAUUUCCAUAGCCAUUCCGAGAUAUAUUGCCAUGCAACUUUCCAUCAUUCUGUUCAUCAUGACACAUUCAUCAUUGCCAUAUUGCUUAGCAUGAUCAUGUAGUUGACAUAGUAUUUGUGGCAAAGCCACCGUUCAUAAUUCUUUCAUACAUGUCACUCUUGGUCCAUUGCAUAUCCCGGUACACCGCCGGAGGCAUACAUAUAGAGUCAUCUUUUGUUCUAGUAUUGAGCUGUAAUCAUUGAGUUGUAAAUAAAUAGAAGUGUGAUGAUCAUCAUUUUCUAGAGCAUUGUCCCAAGUCAGGGAUAAAUAAAUAAAUAAAUAAAUAAAAAGAAGAAAGGCCAUAAAAAGAGAAGGCCCAAAAAAAGAGAAAGGCCAUAAAAAAGAGAAGGCCCAAAAAAAGAAAAAAAAAUGAGAGAAAAAGAGAGAAGGGACAAUGUUACUAUCCUUUGCCACACUUGUGCUUCAAAGUAGCACCUUAAUGUUCAUGUUAGAGAGUCUCUUGUUUUGGCACUUUCAUAUACUAGUGGGAAUUUUUCAGUAUAGAACUUGGCUUGUAUAUUCCAACAAUGAGCCUCCUCAAGUGCCCUAGGUCUUCGUGAGCAAGCAAGUUGGAUGCACACCCACUAGUUUAUUUUGUUGAGCUUUCAUACAUUUAUAGCUCUAGUGCAUCUGUUGCAUGGCAAUCCCUACUCCUUGCAUUAACAUCAAUCGGUGGGAAUCUCCAUAGCCCAUUGAUUAGCCUCGUUGAUGUGAGACUUUCUCCCCUUUUGUCUUCUCCACAUAACCCCCCUCAUUAUAUUCUGUUCCACCCAUAGUGCUAUGUCCAUGGCUCGCGCUCAUAUAUUGGGUGAAAGUUUAUAGGUUUGAGAUUACUAAAGUAUGAAACAAUUGCUUGGCUUGUCAUCGGGGUUGUGCAUGAUGAGAGCAUUCUUGUGUGACGAAGAUGAAACAUGACUAAACUAUAUGAUUUUGUAGGGAUGAACUUUCUUUGGCCAUGUUAUUUUGAGAAGACAUGAUUGCUUAGUUAGUAUGCUUGAAGUAUUAUUAUUUUUAUGUCAAUAUGAACUUUUGUCUUGAAUCUUUCGGAUUUGAAUAUUCAUACCACAAUUAAGAAGAAUUACAUUAAAAUUAUGCCAAGUAGCACUCCGCAUCAAAAAAUCUGUUUUUAUCAUUUACCUACUCGAGGACGAGCAAGAAUUAAGCUUGGGGAUGCUUGAUACGUCUCCAACAUAUCUAUAAUUUUUUAUUGCUCCAUGCUAUAUUAUCUACUGUUUUGGACAUUAUUGGGCUUUAUUAUCCACUUUAUAUUAUUUUUGGGACUAACCUAUUAACCGGAGGCCCAGUCCAGAAUUGAUGUUUUUUGCCUGUUUUAGGGUUUCGAAGAAAAGGAAUAUCAAACAGAGUCCAAACGGAAUGAAACCUUCGGGAACGUGAUUUUCUCAACGAAUAAGACCAGAGAGACUUGGACCCUACGUCAAGAAAGGAAACAAGAGCCCACGGGGUAGGGGGCGCGUCCACCCCCACCAGGCGCGCCCUCCACCCUCGUGGGCCCCCUGUUGCUCCACCGACGUACUCCUUCUUCCUAUAUAUAUCCACGUACCCCCAAACGAUCAGAUAGGGAGCCAAGACCCUAAUUCCACCGCUGUAACUUUCUGUAUCCAUGAGAUCCCAUCUUGGGGCCUGUUCCGGAGCUCCGCUGGAGGGGGCAUCGAUCACGGAGGGCUUCUACAUCAACACCAUAUCCCCUCCGAUGAAGUGUGAGUAGUUUACCUCAGACCUACGGGUCCAUAGUUAGUAGCUAGAUGACUUCUUCACUCUUUUUGGAUCUCAAUACAAUGUUCUCCCCCUCUCUUGUGGAGAUCUAUUCGAUGUAAUCUUCUUUUUGCGGUGUGUUUGUUGAGACCGAUGAAUUGCGGGUUUAUGAUCAAGUCUAUCUAUGAAUAAUAUUUGAAUCUUCUCUGAAUUCUUUUAUGUAUGAUUGGUUAUCUUUGCAAGUCUCUUCGAAUUAUUAGUUUGGUUUGGCCUACUAGAUUGAUCUUUCUUGCAAUGGGAGAAGUGCUUAGCUUUGGGUUCAAUCUUGCGGUGUCCUUUCCCGAUGACAGUAAGGGCAGCAAGUCACGUAUUGUAUUGUUGCCAUCGAGGAUAACAAGAUGGGUUUUUCUUCAUAUUGCAUGAGUCUAUCCCUCUACAUCAUGUCAUCUUGCUUAAGGCAUUACUCUGUUUUUAACUUAAUACUCUAGAUGCAUGCUGGAUAGCGGUCGAUGAGUGGAGUAAUAGUAGUAGAUGCAGGCAGGAGUCGGUCUACUUGUCUCGGACGUGAUGCCUAUAUACAUGAUCAUACCUAGAUAUUCUCAUAACUAUGCCCAGUUCUGUCAAUUGCUCAACAGUAAUUUGUUCACCCACCGUAGAAUACUUAUGCUCUGAGAGAAGCCACUAGUGAAACCUAUGGCCCCCGGGUCUAUCUUUAUCAUAUUGAUCUCCUAUUACUUAGUUAUUUCCUUUGCUAUUUACUUUGCCUUUAUUUUACUUUGCAUCUUUUAUCAUAAAAAUACCAAAAAUAUUAUCUUAUCAUAUCUAUCAGAUCUCACUCUCGUAAGUGGCCCUAUAGGGAUUGACAACCCCUAUUUGCGUUGGUUGCGAGGAUUUAUUUGUUUUGUGCAGGUGCGAGGGACUCACACGUAGCCUCCUACUGUAUUGAUACCUUGGUUCUCAAAAACUGAGGGAAAUACUUACGCUACUUUGCUGCAUCAUCCCUUCCUCUUCGGGGAAAACCAACGCGGUGCUCAAGAGGUAGCAAAGUUCUACUAACUUGGUGAUGGUGACUAGAGAAUUCUGUCAAUCACUAUUUUAUCUCGAAGAUUAACUCCCACCUGAUUCAAUCGAUUGUAGUACCCAGACAAUCUGAGCACAUGCUCACUGCUUGAGCUAUUCUCCUCCAUCUUUUAGCUAUAGAACUUGUUGGAGACUUCAUAUCUCUCAACUCGGGUAUUUGCUUGAAAUAUUAACUUCAACUCCUGGAACAUCUCAUAUGAUCCAUGACGUUCAAAACGUCUUUGAAGUCCCGAUUCUAAGCUGUUAAGCAUGGUGCACUAAACUAUCAAGUAGUCAUCAUAUUGAGCUAGCCAAACGUUCAUAACGUAUGCAUCUACUCCUGCAAUAGGUCUGUCACCUAGCGGUGCAUCAAGGACAUAAUUCUUAUGUGCAGCAAUGAGGAUAAUCCUCAGAUCACGAAUCCAAUCUGCAUCAUUGCUACUAACAUCUUUCAACUUAGUUUUCCCUAGGAACAUAUCAAAAAUAAAACAGAGGAGCUAAACGCGAGCUAUUGAUCUACAACAUAGAUAUGCUAAUACUACCAGGACUAAGUUCAUGAUAAAUUAAAGUUCAAUUAAUCAUAUUACUUAAGAACUCCCACUUAGAUAGACAUCCCUCUAGUCAUCUAAAUGAUCACGUGAUCCAAAUCAACUAAACCAUGUCCGAUCAUCACGUGAGAUGGAGUAGUUUUCAAUGGUGAACAUCACUAUGUUGAUCAUAUCUACUAUACGAUUCACGCUCGACCUUUUGGUCUCCAGUGUUCCGAAGCCAUAUCUGCAUAUGCUAGGCUCGUCAAGUUUAACCUGAGUAUUCCGCGUGUGCAACUGUUUUGCACCCGUUAUAUUUGAACGUAGAGCUUAUCACACCCGAUCAUCACGUGGUGUCUCAGCACGAAGAACUUUCGCAACGGUGCAUACUCAGGGAGAACACUUAUACCUUGAAAUUUAGUGAGAGAUCAUCUUAUAAUGCUACCAUCGAUCUAAGCAAAACAAGAUGCAUAAAAGAUAAACAUCACAUGCAAUCAAUAUAAGUGAUAUGAUAUGGCCAUCAUCAUCUUGUGCUUGUGAUCUCCAUCUCCGAAGCACCGUCAUGAUCACCAUCGUCACCGGCGUGACACCUUGACAUCCAUGUAGCAUCGUUGUCGUCUCGCCAACUAUUGCUUCUACGACUAUCGCUACCUCUUAGUGAUAAAGUAAAGCAAUUACAGGGCGAUUGCAUUGCAUACAAUAAAGCGACAACCAUAUGGCUCCUGCCAGUUGCCGAUAACUCGGUUACAAAACAUGAUCAUCUCAUACAAUAAAAUUUAGCAUCAUGCCUUGACCAUAUCACAUCACAAAAUGCCCUACAAAAACAAGUUAGACGUCCUCUACUUUGUUGUUGCAAGUUUUACAUGGCUGCUAUGGGCUGAGCAAGGACGGUUCUUACCUACGCAUCAAAACCACAAUGAUAGUUCAUCAAGUUAGUGAUGUUUUAACCUUCUCAAGGACCGGGCGUAGCCACACUCGGUUCAACUAAAGUUGGAGAAACUGACACCCGCCAGCCACCUGUGUGCAAAGCACGUCGGUAGAACCAGUCUCGCGUAAGCGUACGCGUAAUGUCGGUCCGGGACGCUUCAUCCAACAAUACCGCCGAACCAAAAUAUGACAUGCUGGUAAGCAGUAUGACUUGUAUCGCCCAUAACUCACUUGUGUUCUACUCGUGUAUAUAACAUCUACACAUAAAACCUGGCUCUGAUACCAUUGUUGGGGAACGUAGUAAUUUCAAAAAAAAUCCUACGCACACACAGGAUCAUGGUGAUGCAUAGCAAUGAGAGGGGAGAGUGUUGUCUACGUACCCUCGUAGACCAUAAGCGGAAGCGUUUAUCAACGUAGUUGAUGUAGUCGUAUGUCUUCACGAUCCGACCGAUCCAAGUACCGAAUGCAUGGCACCUCCGAGUUCUGCACACAUUCAGCUCGAUGACGUCCUCGCCUUCUUAAUCCAGCAAGACGGGCGAACUAGUAGAUGAGUUCCGGCAGCACGACGGCGUGGUGACGGUGUUGGUGAAGAACAAUCUCCGUAGGGCUUCUCCUAAGCACUACGAAAACUAUGACGGAGGAUAAACUAGAGGGCACGGGGUUGCCGGCACACGGCUUGGUGUUUCUUGAUGUGUCUUGGGUGCUAGCCCUACCCCUCUAUUUAUAUGUUGAGCCUGGGAGUCGAAACUUGGAGUAAAAGCCUCCAUAAAGUCGGUUUCACCAGAAAGGCAAGAGUCCUUCUCAGACUCUAGGACUAGACGCCAGGGUCCCGGCGUCUGGACCCAAACGCCAGGGACCCUGGCAUCUGGCCCCUGGACUCCGUAAAACUUCCUUUUGCGCUUUCCAAAAACCUUGUGGGCUUUCCUCUUUGGCCCAAAUAAAGUGUUCUCGUACCCAAACAUUUUGGGAAACAUCCGGAACCCCUUACGGAGUCAAAACACUAUUAUCCCAUAUAUCAAUCUUUAUCUCCAGACCAUUCUUGAGUUCCUCGUCAUGUCCGUGAUCUUAUCCGGAACUCCGAACAACAUUCGGUCACCAACAUACAUAACUCAUAUAAUAUUAUAUCGUCAACGAAUGUUAAGCGUGCGGACCCUACAGGUUUGAGAACUAUGUAGACAUGACCGAGACACUUCUCUGAUCAAUAACCAAUAGCGGAACCUGGAUGCCCAUAUUGGCUCCUACAUAUUCUACGAAGAUCUUUAUCGGUCAAACCGCAUAACAACAUAUGUUUGUUCCCUUUGUCAUCGGUAUGUUACUUGCCCGAGAUUCGAUCGUCAGUAUCUCAAUACCUAGUUCAAUCUCGUUACCGGCAAGUCUCUUUACUUGUUCCAUAAUACAUCAUCCCGCAACUAACUCAUUAGUUACAAUGCUUGCAAGGCUUAUAGUGAUGUGCAUUACCUAGUGGGCCCAGAGAUACCUCUCCGACAAUCGGAGUGACAAAUCCUAAUCUCGAAAUAUGCCAACCCAACAAGUACCUUUGGAGACACCUAUAGAGCACCUUUAUAAUCACCUAGUUACGUUGUGACAUUUGGUAGCACACAAAGUGUUCCUUCGGUAAACGGGAGUUGCAUAAUCUCAUAGUCAUAGGAACAUAUAAGUCAUGAAGAAAGCAAUAGCAGAAUACUAAACGAUCAAGUGCUAAGCUAACGGAAUGGGUCAAGUCAAUCACAUCAUUCUCCUAAUGAUGUGAUCAUGCUAAUCAAAUGACAACUCAUGUCUAUGGCUAGGAAACAUAACCAUCUUUGAUCAACAAGCUAGUCAAGUAGAGGCAUACUAGUGACACUCUGUUUGUCUAUGUAUUCACACAAGUAUUAUGUUUCCGGUUAAUACAAUUCUAGCAUGAAUAAUAAACAUUUAUCAUGAUAUAAGGAAAUAAAUAAUAACUUUAUUAUUGCCUCUAGGGCAUAUUUCCUUCAAAUAUAUAUCGGAAUGGCUAUGGAAAUGCCAUUAUAGGUAGGUAUGGUGGAUGUUUUGAGGAAGGUAUAUGGUGGGUGUAUGAUACCGGCGAAAGGUGCGCGGUAUUAGAGAGGCUAGCAAUGGUGGAAGGGUGAGAGUGCGUAUAAUCCAUGGACUCAACAUCAGUCAUAAAGAACUCACAUACUUAUUGCAAAAAUCUAUUAGUUAUCGAAGCAAAGUACUACGCGCAUGCUCCUAGGGGAUAAAUUGGUAGGAAAAUACCAUCGCUCGUCCCCGAGCGCCACUCAUAAGGAGGACAAUCAAUAAAUAAUUCAUGCUCCAACUUCUUCACAUAACGGUUCACCAUACGUGCAUGCUACGGGAAUAACAAACUUCAACACAAGCAUUUCUCAAAUUCACAACUACUCAACUAGCACGACUCUAAUAUUACCAUCCUCAUAUCUCAAAACAAUCAUCAAGUAUCAAACUUCUCUUAGUAUUCAACACACUCAUAAAAAAAUUAUUAAUCUUGAAUGCCUAACAUAAUUAAAGCAAAUUACCACGCUGUUUUGUAGGACUCUCAAAAUAAUCUAAGUGAAGCAUGAGAGAACAAUAGUUUCUAUAAAACAAAUCCACCACCGUGCCCUAGAAGAUAUAAGUGAAGCACUAGAGCAAAAACUAUAUAACUCAAAAGAUAUAAGUGAAGCAUAUAGAGUAUUCUAACAAUUUCCGAAUCAUGUGUGUCUCUCUCAAAAGGUGUGUACAGCAAGGAUGAUUGUGGAAAACUAACAAAUAAAGACUCAAAUAAUACAAGACGCUCCAAGCAAAACACAUAUCAUGUGGUAAAUAAAAAUAUAGCUCCAAGUAAAGUUACCGAUGGAAGUAGACGAAAGAGGGGAUGCCUUCCGGGGCAUCCCCAAGCUUGGGAUUUUAGGUGUCCUUAGAUUAUCUUGGGGUGCCAUGGGCAUCCCCAAUCUUAGGCUCUUGCCACUCCUUGUUCCAUAAUCCAUCAAAUCUUUCACCCAAAACUUGAAAACUUCACAACACAAAACUUAAAGUAGAAAAUCUCGUGAGCUCCGUUAGCGAAAGAAAACAAAACACCACUUCAAGGUACUGUAACGAACUCAUUCUUUAUUUAUGUUGGUGUUAAACCUACUGUAUUCCAACUUCUCUAUGGUUUAUAAACUAUUUUACUAGCCAUAGAUUCAUCAAAAUAAGCAAACAACACACGGAAAACAGAAUCUGUCAAAAACAGAACAGUCUGUAGUAAUAUGUAGCUAACGCAAGUUAUGGAACCCCAAAAAUUCUAAAAUAAAUUUCUGGACGUGAGGAAUUUAUCUAUUAAUCAUCUUCAAAAAUAAUUAACUAAAUAGCACUUUCCAAAUAAAAAUGGCAGCAAUUCUCGUGAGCGCUAAAGUUUCUGUUUUUUACAGCAAGAUUGAAAAGACUUUCCCCAAGUCUUCCCAACGGUUCUACUUGGCACAAACACUAAUUAAACACACAAAAACACAACCAACACAGAGUCUAGAUAAAUUAUUUAUUACUAAACAGGAUCAAAAAGCAAGGAAUAAAAAUAAAAUUGGUUUGCCUCCCAACAAGCGCUAUCGUUUAACGCCCCUAACUAGGCAUAAAAGCAAGGAUAGAUCUAGGUAUCGCUAUAAUAAUAGGAUAGAUCACUAAAACUCAUUUCAUAUUCUCUAAGUUUGGCAGCAAGUUUUCUUUGAGGCAAGCAAAAGUAAUCAAAAUGGAUAAAUUUAAUGGGACCAAAGUCCCCAAGAUGAACUUUAGGAGGUAUAGGUUCCUCCUUUGGCCCUUUGUAUUGCACAACCAAUUCAUCAUUAUAAGCAUUCUUUUGACAGAACUUUGUGAGCCUAUACUCGAGAGAAUAUCCUAGAUCAUUAUUUUGAAUAGCCAAAUCAUUAUUAAGUUCAGAAAUUCUAUCAAGUAGAACAUUGGUAGGAACCCUUUUUCUAAGAUUUUCAUUGAAAGCAACAAAGUCUAGAGAUUGAAAACGCAUUGUUUCUUCUUGGUCAAAAAGGAUAGCCUCUAUGGGAGGACGGACAACGUCCACCCUAUAAUGCGCAAAGAUUUCUUUGGCCUCUUUUAUUAUAAAUAUAAACUCAUGAGCCAAAAAGAUAGUAGUGGCACGCUUAACAGAAGAAUGCUAAAUAUUAGAAAAUUCUAGGGAAAUCCUUUGUAUGCAAGGAUGCAUGUGCAUAAAUUGUCUUUCAAGUUCAACUACAAGCAUGGCGAUAGCGUCGCAAGACUACUAGUUCUAUGAAGAAUAGAACUACCCAUAGAAGGCAAAGCACUGGCACAAGUAAAGAAAUCUUGGAAACUCCUUUUCCAAUAAUAUUACCACUACCAAUUCGGAUUUUUUUUGUAUGUAAGAUAAGGGGUUUUUCAGCAGGAGCAUUAGAAUUUUCCAUGAUAUUAUUAUUGUCCAUAUCGACAAUAAUUUCCCUAAUUUCAGACAUAAUGAUAGAAAGUGCAAGGGGCAAAAAGGAGGAAGGCGAACGGAAAGAGGGGGCGAAUAAAACGGCAAGGGUGAAGUGGGGGAGAGGAAAAAGAGAGGCAAAUGGCAAAUAAUGUAAUGCGGGAGAUAAGGGUUUGUGAUGGGUACUUGGUAUGUUGACUAUUGCGUAGACUCCCCGGCAACGGCGCCAGAAAUCCUUCUUGCUACCUCUUGAGCACUGCGUUGGUUUUCCCUUGAAGAGGAAAGGGUGAUGCAGCAAAGUAGCGUAAGUAUUUCCCUCAGUUUUUGAGAAUCAAGGUAUCAAUCCAGUAGGAGGCCACGCACGAGUCCCUCGCACCUACACAAACAAAUAAAAUCCUCGCAACCAACGCAAUAAAGGGGUUGUCAAUCCCUUCACGAUCACUUACGAAAGUGAAAUUUGAUAGAUAUGAUAAGAUAAUAUUUUUGGUAUUUUUAUGAUAAAGAUGCAAAGUAAAGAAAGCAAAAUAAACAAAAAAGAAAAUAGCUUGUUGACGGAAGAUUAAUAUGAUGGAAAAUAGACCCGGGGGCCAUAGGUUUCACUAGUGGCUUCUCUUGAGAGCAUAAGUAUUACUGUGGGUAAACAAAUUACUGUUGAGCAAUUGACAGAAUUGAGCAUAGUUAUGAGAAUAUCUAGGUAUGAUCAUGUAUAUAGGCAUCACGUCCGAGACAAGUAGACCGAUUCCUGCCUGCAUCAACUACUAUUACUCCACACAUCGAACGCUAUCCAGCAUGCAUCUAGAGUAUUAAGUUCAAAAGAACAGAGUAACGCUUUAAGCAAGAUGACAUGAUGUAGAGGGAUAAACUCACGCAAUAUGAAAUAAACCCCAUCUUGUUAUCCUCGAUGGCAACAAUACAAUACGUGCCUUGCUGCCCCUACUGUCACUAGGAAAGGACACCGCAAGAUUGAACCCAAAGCUAAGCACUUCUCCCAUUGCAAGAAAGAUCAAUCUAGUAGGCCAAACCAAACUGAUAAUUCGAAGAGACUUGCAAAGAUAACCAAUCAUACAUAAAAGAAUUCAGAGAAGAUUCAAAUAUUGUUCAUAGAUAAACUUGAUCAUAAACUCACAAUUCAUCGGUCUCAACAAACACACCACAAAAGAACAUUACAUCGAAUAGAUCUCCGCAAGAGAGGGGGAGAACUUUGUAUUGAGAUCCAAAAAGAGAUAAGAAGCCAUCUAGCUAAUAACUAUGGACCCGAAGGUCUGAAGUAAACUACUCACACUUCAUCGAGGAGGCUAUGGUGUUGAUGUAGAAGCCCUCCGUGAUCGAUGCCCCCUCCGGCGGAGCUCCGAAAAAGGCCCCAAGAUGGGAUCUCACGGAUACAGAAAGUUACGACGGUGGAAUUAGGGUUUUGGCUCCGUAUCUAGUAGUUUGGGGGUACAUAGGUAUAUAUAGGAGGAAGAAGUACGUCGGUGGAGCAACGUGGGCCCCACGAGGGUGGAGGGUGCACCUGGGGGGUAGGCGCGCCCCCUACCUCAUGCCCUCCUGGUUGCUUUCCUGACGUAGGGUCCAAGUCCUCUGGAUCAUGUUCGUUCUGAAAGCACGUUCCCGAAGGUUUCAUUCCGUUUGGACUCCGUUUGAUAUUCUUUUUCUGCGAAACUCUGAAAUAGGCAAAAAACAGCAAUUCUGGGCUGGGCCUCCGGUUAAUAGGUUAGUCCCAAAAAUAAUAUAAAAGUGUAUAAUAAAGCCCAAUAAUGUCCAAAACAGGAUAUAAUAUAGCAUGGAACAAUCAAAAAUUAUAGAUACGUUGGAGACGUAUCACUAAUAGACUACAACGUCGAGGGUGGCCAAAUGACUAUUUUUAUCCAUUGUGUGUAUGAAACUCGAGACCUCGGUGCAUCUUCUAUGGCAAUGCCCUAAAGCCCGAAGAAUUUGGCAUAUGGUUGUUUCCUGGUCUGGUCGUGCUGCGCUUGAUCUUGCGGCAUGGCCUGAUGAGGACAGCUCAGCGGGAUACUGGGUUGCGACCAUCUCGGCUGCUUCCGAUGAGCACAAGAAAGGGAUAAAAUCCAUGUUGAUCCUUAUCUCGUGGGAAAUAUGGUUUGAGAUAAACAAUAGAGUGUUCAACAAAAAGAUUGCAACCCCGACAGUCACAAUACAAGCCAUCAGACGAGCAAUUGACUCGUGGAGACUGGCAGGAGCGAAAUGUAUGUAGCCCCCCUUCAGGGACCCCCCUGCGCCCUCGAGAGAUGGAUCCUUACUUAACCCGCACCUAUUUUUCAUUUUUCUCUGAUCUUUCAUCCUUGUAGCCACUUUAGUUGCCACCUAUAAAUAUUGCUACCUACCUAUGAUAAUGCAUAAGCCAACAAUUGCCGGUUUCCUUCUUUUUUUUUGCGAAACGAUAUGGGCUGUAUUAAUCAAGGAUGAUCAUUACAAUCCUGUUGGCAGAGAUUGCCAAUUUCAUCAGGUCCAUUCUGAAGCCAAACAGCAGUACACGGGAUCGAGUGUCCCAGGUAUGCUAAUGUAUGGCUUACUUUAUUUCUACUCCUACUCACAUGCAAUACAACAUGCUCACGACCAAGCAAAAGGAGUCUUUUUAUCUCACAAAUCAGCGCUGCUACGCGUGAUCUAUUCUGAUCAGGCUCGUUGAUCAUAUUGGCAGCAACAAGGCUAUCUGUUUCCAGUAUGAAGGGUGAUGUACUCCAGUCCAGGGUUAAAGCAAUGCCCUCCAUGCACGCUGCCACCUCCGCUUCAAGUGGGCUUACGCAGGACCUGAGGAACCUGCAGGAUGAGUAGAUGAUUGCGCCAUCGCAAUCUCGUAGGAUCAUACUGGCACCUCCCGUUCCGUCCUCGCGCCAAGCACCAUCAAUGUUCAGCUUGUUCCAUCCCACCGGGGGCUUCGCCCAUCGUUCCGGUGGCCGUGAGCAGGAUGCCGGCAUGGCGCCCGCCUUAGUGUGGCUCCUACACGGCUCCAGGGAGAGCACCAUUUUCCCCUUCAUGAUGUCACCAUGGGGGUGCUGCUCAAUGCAUCGGAGGCUGUCGAUAUCGAUGCAUAAAAACCUGCAAAAUGCUUCGAUGGUGGGAGCCGGUUUGUGAUGGACAACUUCAUUCCAAACAUACCAGUUUGCCAAAAAUGUCAUGAGCACCGGCAGCCACUGCUCUUCUGGACAAUCAUUCAAAAGUAACAACGCCCAUUCAGUACUCGAAUUGGUGAUGUUGUCAAGGCAUGGCAUGCUGAAGGCGGCCGCCAUUUCUUCCCACAACAUACGCGCGAGCGGGCACCUACACAUUACAUGGUAUGUAUCCUCGGAUUCCAUCCCACAUAAAACACAUAUAUUAGUGACUUCAAGUUUUCUCUUAGCUUUAUUUUCCAUAGUGGCAAGGGAGUUUGUAAUUAAACGCCAUGCAAAGACGCGUACCUUUGGGGGGCAGGGCACCCCACACUGCCUUCCAGAUGGCACGAGUGUCGUCCGGUGCCCUGCUAGCAGUGCUGGAUAUGUCGAUGGCGAGACGGUACAUGCUUCUGACGGAGAAAAUACCUCUUGGAUCGGGUGCCCAGGCCAGGACGUCCUCCUGGCGUUGUGGGGAUGCUUUAAUCUGGAGUAUACAUGCAGCAUCACUUGCAUGAAAAUGUUGGUGCAUGAGCUCUGGGAUCCACCGCCCGUGGUCAUCCAGCAGCUCACUGGCUUGGUGAAGACGGCAUGUGCCACACGCCGUAAUGGGCUUGUAUGAUGGCGGUCUAGGCAGCCAUGGGUCACGCCAAAUACGCACUGUCUCCCCAUUGCCAACGCACCAGAGGAGUCCUUUCUUGAGCAACUCCAAACCAUGCUGGAUAGCAUGCCACGUAGGUGAUGUGUUGCCUGCAAAAAUAGUAUCCACCAGGGAGCCGUUAGGAUAAUAUCUCGCUUUCAACACCAUAGCGCAUAGUGAGUCUGGUUUCAUGAGUAAUCUCCAUGCUUGACGGGCGAUUAAGGCUUGAUUGAAGGUGCGAAAAUCAUGAAACCCAAGACCUCCUCUUCCUUUUGGCUCGAUCAUUUUCUCCCACACUUUCAAGUGGGUUUUCCUCUUCCCAUUUUUUGAGCCCCGCCAAAAGUUCCGCACCAACCUUGUUAGAUCAUCACGUACUGAAGCAGGUAACUUAAACACCCCCAUGAUAUAGGUUGGGAUGGCUUGUGCCCAAGACUUGAUCAUCGCUUCAAUGCCUGCUUGGGAAAGACUAUCCCACCAUGCCAUGAUCCUCUUCGUAAGACUAGUUUGCAACAUUUGGAAUUUCCCUUUGUGCAUCCUACCAUCUAGGGUUGGUAGCCCGAGGUACUUCCCCUCAAAAUCAGAGUUAACAACCUGAAGCUCCUGUUUGAUAGCUUGUUGCACCUCCACAUGGCAUGCAUCCCCAAACUAAAUGGAGCAUUUUUGUGGACUAAUAAGUUGACAUGUGGCCCUCUCAUAACUAUUAAUUACACCUUUGAUGUACUGGGCCUGCUCUAGAUUGGCUUUGAAAAAUAGUAAAGUGUCAUCCGCAAAUAAAAGGUGUGAAAUACCAGGAGCUCUUGGGCAUACCUUUAAAGCUUGGAUACUUUGGUUCUCUAUUCCUUGCCUCAAUAAGGCAAACAAUCCAUCUGCAACAAAGAGGAACAAAAACGGCGAGAGGGGGUCCCCUUGUCAUAGCCGACGGUGCAAACGAAUCCAAGAUGGCUCCAUUAAAUUUCACAGAGUAUCUCACUGAGGUCACACACGUCAUGAUCCAUUGAACCCAUUGGUGAGUGAAGCCUAACUUUUGCAUCGUUUGCUCCAAGAAGACCCAAUCCACACAAUCAUAAGCUUUUGAUAAAUCCAACUUAUAAGCGCAAAAGCUAUUUUCCUUUUUUUCCUCAUGUUGCAUGAAGUGAAGGCACUCAAAAGCCAAAAGGGCAUUAUCUGUAAUCAUAUGUCCUGGUACAAAGGCACUUUGCUACGGAGAUAUGAUCUCAUCCAAGAUGGGUCGCAAUCUAUUAACCAAGCACUUUGCAACAAUUUUGUAUAUGACGUUACAUAGACUUAUUGGCCUAAAGUUAGACACACGGACUGGAUCAUUUACUUUUGGUAUAAGAACGAUUACCGUGUCAUUUACUCCCUCUGGCAUUACUCCUGUCAAAAGAAUUCCUUGGCUGCACAGAUGACUUCCUCUUUCAAAACAAGCCGGUUCCUCUGAAAAAAGCGAGCUGGGAAACCAUCACUACCCGGAGCCUUAAGCGGUCCAAUCUGGAAGAGGUUGUUAGAUAUUUCCUUCCCAGUGAAAUCAACGCAAAGUUUUAGGUUCAUAUAAUGAGUUACCUUCGGUUGCACUAGCUGUACAAGGGUUGCCUGGUCGAGAGUAUUGUCACAUGUAAAAAGAUUCUGGAAAACGCAUCAACCAGGCCACCCAUCUCUUUUUUUUCUCAACUCUAGUACCUAAUUCAUCAAAUAGGAACUUCACUUUAUUUUUUUCUUGCUCUCCAAACUGCCUGCUGGUGAAAAAAAAUUGUGUUGCGGUCUCCUUCACGCAACCAAUCAAUACGUGACCUUUGCAACCACAUGAUUUCUUCCUUGUACAUGAGAUCAUUCAUAUGGUCUUGUACAGCCUGUAUUUCAUUUCGAUCAGCAUUCAUUCUCAACAACUCCUCCAGCCUUGUUCUAGACUUCUUGAGUUCACAUACCACACUGUCGAAUCUAGAUUUGCUCCAUACAUGUAGCUCAACCAUCAAUUCACACAGGCCACGGCGAAUAUCACCCAGGUUUACCUUUGCCCCUGCAUUUGCCCAUGCAUUUUGAACUCUCUCCGGUAGGCCGCUAUCAGUCUCCCACAUGAUCUCGUACCGUCUCUGGCUUGGUUUGAUAUCCAGCUUCUCUUCUUUUAUGCACUUUAACACCACUGGACAGUGGUUCGAGCAAGGACUGACAUUGUGUACAACUUGUGUCUCCGAGAAGAUGUCCCGCCAUCGGUUGUCUGCCACAGCCCGGUCAAGGCGAACUUUAACAUUUCGAUGUCCAGCUUGCUUAUUGUCAUAGGUAAAAGGCACACCCGAAAAACCCAAAUCUGACAACUCACAUAUCUCCAAGGUAUCUCUGAAGGCCAGCAUCUGUCUUUCUCCACGUUGUGAAACUGAAAGGUGUUCGAAAGACCACAUGGCUUCAUUGAAGUAGCCAAUCACACACCAUGGUAAUGGAGACUUUGUUUUUAAGUUUUACAAUUUUUCCCACAUCAAGUGACGGUUUUCCACCCUUGGCCCACCAUACACACAGGUCAAGUGCCAAAGUGGAUCAUUAUCAUACACACGGACGUACGCAUCUAUAUAUCUUUCAUUUACUUCUUGAACAUCAACAAAUAUUUGAUCACUCCAAAAGAGGGCUAGUCCCCCACUCAAACCAUUACUAUCACAUCCUGCAAAACCUCUCAGACCCAGUCUACCUCUUAAACGACGCACUUUUUCAGCUUUAACUCUAGUUUCACACAAAAGACCAAAUGUGCAAUGUCAGUCCUCGCAAGUCCCACCAACUCCCGAACUGUUGGUUUGUUGGCCGCGCCGCGACAGUUCCAACUUAGGCAAUUGAUUGCUCCUGACGGGGCGCCACAUUCGGCCAUGUCGGGUCACCGGCAGCCCCUGGGCCGGUUGCUUCCUGCUUCAUAGAUUGGUCCUCUAUCCCUGCGGAUGUGCGUCCAUUCGCCACCACCUUGACCCUCGUCUGAUCACCACCUGCCAUAACCUCUGCAUAAAUAACAAAUGCCCUGUCUUGCUCCUUUUCUACCUCUGUAUACUUGCUCAGAACCAAGUCAGCAACGUUCAUCUCCAUGUAUCGGCUGCACAAGUAGGUAGCCAUCUCUACCGAGUACCUUAACUGUUGCAGAUCAGCCAUGCGCUCUUUGUCCAGUGCUCCUCUCACCGGUACAACAACGUAAGGCACAAGGGCCUUCGCCGCACCCGGACUCUGUUUGGCGUCAGCGACAGCAGGUACGCAAGGGGUCACGGUUGCGUGUUCCACGGGUUCCCCAUCAACCGACUUCGGGCGGCAUCCACAAGGGGAGCCCCAUGAUCGCCCCCACCGGCCUUCGGGUUCGCCGCAGAAGCACCCGGCUCGAUCUUCACAUGCAACACCGAGAGUGCCAUCGCCUCCUCUCCCUUCAUCUCCACGAAACUGUAUUCAAGGGGCUCGAGCGACGGACGGACGGACAUAGCCGCGACGGAGCCGUAGUACGUCUUGGCGACGCACACGGGAACAUUGCGAGCGGCCGCGAGGCCGGGGCCAGGCAGCGAUGGCGGCAAGGGCGUCGCCCCUGAGUCGCCAAACCCUAACAUCGCUUGUCAGGUAGAUGGGUCUUGUAAUUGCCGAUUUCCUUCAGAAAAAGGAACAGUUCUUAUAAGAGCCAACAUCAACAUUAAAAUCGCUUUUAUAUUAUGGGACGGAGGAAGUAUUUCAUUUGUCCGUUAAAACUACCAAAAAACGGAAAAAUCUCAUGUCCGGUUUGCACUAUUCAUUCAUAGAUUUUGACCGCCAUGCCCCCACAGAAAAUCACUACUAGUACAAAUUAGUCUAGCGUUUGCUUAACGAACUUUUCUAUUCCCUUUGCCAUUUCUGCGGAGGAGACCACGACAUGUCACCAUCAUGAGAGAAGCAGAGCAUAGGGAAUCAGAACAGAGCACGCACGCACGCACCUUCGCAGCGCACAACGGCAGAAUAUACUACUACUAGCGCACAGAACGGGCAGGCGGGCGGGUAGGCAGAGUCAACGGCCCAAGGAGGCGAGGAACGGUCGCGGCUCCGCUCCUGGAUUCUGGCUAACAGAACCGGUAAACUAAUAAACAGCCCUCCCCGUCGCCGUCACCCGUCCAUCCGUCGCGCAUUUCCAAUCCCUCACAAUCACAUUCCCGAAUUAACGGCCCCUCCCACCCCCCUUACGCGCUCCCCGUCGCGCCUCCCCCUAAAAAUAGCCAGAUCUCGCGCGGGGGGGCGGCGCGCCUCCGAGCUCUCCUCCCUCUUCGCCGCGGUGCUCCAAGAAGGCGCUAAUCGAUCCAAUCCAAUCCAAUUAGUUCUUCUUCCCCUUUUCCGCGGUUAAUUCGAUCUGCGCUGCGCAAGUCUCGUUUCGCUUUUGUUCGAUUGCGAUCUCUCCUCUCCCCGUCCCCGUGGCGUCGUUUUCGUCUUACCCCGCCCACCCGCGCGGUUGAUUCCUUUGCUGUUUGUUCCCAUCUGAGAGCGGACGAGCUUGCGUCCGUCGGCGGGAGGUGGGUGGAUAGAUAGAAACAGAGGCGGCCGAGGAUCGCCAUUACGGGCCAAGCCGAUCGGGCGUCACGCCACGCGCCCGGCUUUAAAUCCUGCCCCCGCUAUCCAUCCAUCCCAUGGGCGGACACGGGACCGAUCCGGGCCACCUCCUCCUCUCCGCGCUCCGGGCCUAGACGCAUUCUUCUUCGCUGCGAUCUAGCGGAAAGGGGGGAGAUCGGUCGGCCGAUCGAUCCGUCGGCCGGGUAGGAAGAUGAACUCCCUCACGGCCACCGGCAGCAGCAGCGGCGCCGGCAGCAGCGGCGGCGUGGAGAUGCGGGGGGCCGACGGCGAGGGGUACCUGCGGGCCGACGGAUUCGACCUCGUCAACCUCGACAUGCAGCUGGAGAAGACGCGCUCCAGGGUCUGGCUGGAUCAGCAGCGGGGCGCGUCCCCCGCGCAGCCCGGGGAGCUCCUCGAGUGGGAGAUCGACCUCGCCAAGCUCGACAUCCAGAACCAGGUCGCCAGCGGCACCUUCGGCGUCGUCUACCGCGGCACCUACGACGGCAACGACGUGGCAGGUGAAAAUCAAACAUGCUCCCCCCUCGAUAGUCUGUCAUAUGUAAUCAUGUGCCUGUUCUAGUAGUCUGUUUCACCUAAUUGCCAUCUCCUUCAUAGGAUUUUUCUUCUCUCAAAGCAAUUUAGGAUGGUGAGAUAUCUGUGUUGCUUGGUUUGCAGCCCCUGAUCCACAAGCCUUCUCACCCAAAAAGGAAAAAAUCCCAAGCCAAGGCCAAAUCUUAGCUAAUGAUUGUAUUGCGGUCAUAUCAUUGACUUGCCCAUUUCACGUUGCCUAUCUCUUCCCAGCCUAUUGAGGCAACUAGUUCAUAGUAAAAGUUGUCAGACGUUGGCAAGUUUUGACAUUGCAAAUCUUGACUUGCCCAUCGCCAAAAAAUGAAACAUUGGGGCUGCAAACCAAGCACACCCUUAAUACUCCCAUGUUAUCAACAAUAUUGGGGCUGCGCACACAAUUGAUCGUUAUGAAAUUGCAAGGAUGUUUCUAUGAUAUAAAUCUAGUGAUACACUUGUCCAAAUAAGGUUUCAUAAGUUAAUGUUCAAAAUUAUAUUGAACGUGUUUUAAGACAUAGAAUGUAUAAGUUAACAAAUUGGUAGAAGAGAGAUUGAUGGCAGUACCUUGCUAUCGCUAUUGGUAGAGGAGGUGGAGAAGGUGAUGGGGAGCAUGUCGGUAUACUAGGACCAUGGUUGGGUACCAGUUUUGUCGUUGUGAAGGUAGUAGCCAUUGUGGAGGGGGCGGAGAAGGUGACGGGGGGAACAUGUCGNNNNNNNNNNNNNNNNNNNNNNNNNNNNNNNNNNNNNNNNNNNNNNNNNNNNNNNNNNNNNNNNNNNNNNNNNNNNNNNNNNNNNNNNNNNNNNNNNNNNNNNNNNNNNNNNNNNNNNNNNNNNNNNNNNNNNNNNNNNNNNNNNNNNNNNNNNNNNNNNNNNNNNNNNNNNNNNNNNNNNNNNNNNNNNNNNNNNNNNNNNNNNNNNNNNNNNNNNNNNNNNNNNNNNNNNNNNNNNNNNNNNNNNNNNNNNNNNNNNNNNNNNNNNNNNNNNNNNNNNNNNNNNNNNNNNNNNNNNNNNNNNNNNNNNNNNNNNNNNNNNNNNNNNNNNNNNNNNNNNNNNNNNNNNNNNNNNNNNNNNNNNNGUCGGUAUACUAACAUGAUUGGGUGCCAGUUUUGUCGUUGUGAAGGGGGCGGAGAAGGUGAUGGGGGAAAUAUGUCGGUAUACUAACAUGAUUGGGUGCCAGUUUUGUCGUUGUGGAGUAGUUGUUGUGGGGUGACAGGGGAAGCAUGUCGAUAUACUAGGAACAUGGUUGGAUGCCAGUUUUGUCGUUGUGAAGGUAGUAGCCGUUGUGGAGGGGGCGGAGAAGGUGACGGGGGAAGCAUGUCGUUAUAUGCUAGGAACAUGGUUCGGUGCCACUUUUGUCGUUGUGGAGGCGGAGGACAAGGUGACAGGGAAGCAUGCCGAUAUACUAGGAACAUGGUUGGGUGCCAAUUUUGCCGCUGUGAAGGUAGUAGCUACUGCAAAUGAUGAAGAUGUGAGGGAGAUUUAUUGGGGACCUUUAUCGAUUUCGCAAUCUAUCAGCUUUUGUUUAUAUUUUGAUGAUACUUUCUUCGGUUCAGUUGUUAUUAUUGAUGAUUUUGACACUUCCGGAUAUAUGUACACUAUUUGCAUCGUUAAUAUUUUCCUACUGUAAGUAUAAAACCACCUUAGUUUAAUCUUUUCUGCUUUUAUCCAUUAUUACUCAACUUGCUAGUGAGAAAGCUAGCUGGAGAAAUUGGAAAAUAUACAAUAGAAGCCAUAUUUUGAGUAUAAGAACCUAGUUCCAUUUGUGUUUUCGCAAGUCUGCUACUCUGCUUAUAGGGUCGCCGGUUGGUUUAGGUCCUUGUUGCACUGUAGUUGUAGUAUAUCUUGAGUGUGGUCAUAAUACACGGUAGGUUUUUGAGAAUGCACGGGCUUGCUUUCUCUCCAGGGUUCAGAAAAAAAAAUUGAUUUAGGUCCUCGUUGAUUGACAUGAAAAUUUAUAGAAGUAAGAAAAACAUACCAUUGCAAUGUCACUUCUCAAAUCAUAUAGGUUGAGGGCUCCUUUGAUUCACAGGGUUUGAGAAGUGUAGGAAUAGGGAACAUACAGGAACAGGAUGUACUGUCAACUGAAAUCCUACGUCGGGUAGCAAAACAGAGGAUUUUUUCCAUGAAGUCCAACCUCAUGCUUGUUUUCCUGUGAAAAUGAACUAAGAAGUUCCUAUAGGAUUGGUUCCUGAGGAAUGCAAUCCAGUGAAUCAAACAGCACGUAAAGGAAAACUUCUAGAGGGUGUCAAUCCUGUAAAAUUCCUAUGCAAAUCCUAUGAAUCAAAGGAGGCCUGAAUAUGAUGUGUGAUUACACCAUAAAUGGAAAACAAAAAUACAAAUCAAACAGUUCUUGUGUCUAGGGAACAAGUCGAAGAUAAAAAUACUCCUAAAGCGAUUUCAUGUUUGACCUGUGCCAUUUGUUCCUCUGUUUCUCAAUCCUAGCACUUAAAGACUACAGAAUUCUAGGCUUGGUUCAGUCUUGGCUCCCCACAGCAACUAGCUAACUUAAAUAUUUCCAGUAUCCAUCAGUUCUUGUGGCUAGGGAACAAAUCGAAGAUAAAAAUACUCCUAAAGCGAUUUCAUGUUUCUCAAUCCUAACACUUAAAGACUAUAUGUUUCUCAUUCCUAACACUUAAAGACUAUAGAAUUCUAGACUUGGUUCAGUCAUGGCUCCCCACAGAAACUAGCUAGCUUAAAUAUUUCCAGUAUCUAUCAAGAUGAAAAUGUUUAUGGACAUUAAACUCGCAAAACUACAUGUUUUGUUAUUCAUGAUCAUAGUAGCAACAGUAGCAUUUUUCAUUUACCUGGAGUUCAUUUUUCGUAUGAUGCAGUGAAGGUGCUGGACUGGGGGCAGGAAGGUCAGGAGAGCUCAUCGAAGCACCGGGAGGCCUUUGAGAAGGAGGUGGCCGUGUGGCAGAAGCUCGAUCACCCCAAUGUCACAAAGGUACCUGAUUUGUACACAUUAGAUGCUAAUACCUGAUCAAUUUGAAGCGAGCGACUCGGUGAAAUUAACAAUGAACUGUGUCAUGUCUAUUUGUGUGUAGUUCGUGGGGGCGUCGAUGGGGACGUCCCAGCUGAAGAUCCCGGCGGGGAAGAAGGGCGGCAGCAGCCACGGGCCAGGCCAGCGCUGUGUGGUGGUGGUGGAGUACCAGCACGGCGGCACCCUGAAGACGCUGCUGUUCCAGCACAGGGACAAGAAGCUGCCGUACAAGAAGGUGGUCCAGCUGGCGCUGGACAUGGCGAGAGGGCUGAGCUACCUGCACUCUCAGAAGAUCGUGCACCGGGACGUGAAGGCAGAGAACAUGCUGCUGGACAGGAAGAAGUCGGUGAAGAUCGCCGACUUUGGGGUGGCCCGUGUGGAGGCGCAGGACGACGACAACAUGACGGGGCAGACGGGCACGCUGGGGUACAUGGCCCCCGAGGUGCUGGAGGGGCGGCCGUACGACCACAAGUGCGACGUGUACAGCUUUGGCGUCCUGCUGUGGGAGACGUACUGCUGCGCCUUGGCCUACCCGAACUACAGCAUCGCGGACAUCUCGUACCAUGUGGUGAAGCUGGGCAUCCGGCCCGACAUCCCGCGGUGCUGCCCCAAGCCGCUGUCGGAGAUCAUGACGCGUUGCUGGGAUGGCAACCCGGACCACCGGCCGGAGAUGGCCGAGGUGGUGGCGAUGCUGGAGAGGAUCGACACCACCAAGGGCAAGAGCAUGACGCCCGCCGUCCCCGACCACACCUCGCAGGGCUGCAGCUGCUUCGGCUUCUCCAAGUAGUAGUAGUAGUCGUCGUCGUGUUGUGAUGCUGGUCGGUCUGCUGCUGUUUUUUGUUUCCCGUUCAAUGGUGCGGUCGUGCGUAUCGGUGAACGCUUUGGUUGGUCGUCGCGGCGUCUCUGGUGGAAGAAGAAUUGCGUAGGUUGCCUACUGCCUGCCGCUACUCGCUUGUGGUUGUGGGUGAGAUGAUGGUUUAUUUUGCUUUGCAUAAACACUGUGGUCGUCUUGUCUGCACCUGUUUGAUGUUUUUUGGUUCAAAAACUUGUCAUGCCGCUUCUCAUCAUCUGAACUUUUUUUUAGCCAGUCACUCGUCAGCAAAAUCUAGAAUGAAAUAGGCACAGGUUUCUAGAUAUGGUAACAUUAAAACCUAGCCACUUAUCCGCAAAGCUGCAAUGUUGAAUGGCGACAUAGGGCGUGCCCAGCAUGACAAUGUGCUUUAUUUCUGCUCUCACUUGGGCGUGUUGGUGCAGUUUUUCCCUUGUUCAUCCACAUUCUCCUGCGCUAUUACUACAUGACACUAAUGCGAGUUUGUUAAGUGAUGCUACUUACAAAGACUGAAUGCACAACACUCAAGACUCUAAUUCGAGAGUUGAUAGCAGGCAGCGGAGCACGCAGUCAGAUAAGAAACUACGCAUAAUAUUAGUUUCAUGGAAGGACCACCGGCCACACACUUAGAUAAGUCUCACACGAGAAACGAUUCUGAGUUCUGAACAUGUUUUUUUUUCCUUUUUUGAGGGAAAUUCUGAGUUGUGAACAUAAAGACAUGCGGAGUAGUCGACAGCAAACCCGAAAACUGAUGUGCAUNNNNNNNNNNNNNNNNNNNNNNNNNNNNNNNNNNNNNNNNNNNNNNNNNNNNNNNNNNNNNNNNNNNNNNNNNNNNNNNNNNNNNNNNNNNNNNNNNNNNNNNNNNNNNNNNNNNNNNNNNNNNNNNNNNNNNNNNNNNNNNNNNNNNNNNNNNNNNNNNNNNNNNNNNNNNNNNNNNNNNNNNNNNNNNNNNNNNNNNNNNNNNNNNNNNNNNNNNNNNNNNNNAAAAAAAACUGAUGUGCAUCUUCCACUCUGGCCACUGGACCAGGCACACGGAGACAGGACGGCAGUGGAACAUUUUCUUAAGGAAUCAAAGGCGGGAGAGUUGCCAUGCACAACAUCAGGCAUACGGUACAAUUGCCUUCGCAGGCAGUGCUGAUCACAUCAGGGUACUAGGGGAAGCGACACAAAAGAUGAACACAACGUAUGGGGUGCAUCUAGAUUAACUACCCUCAUGAACUGGAGGAGGAACCCCACGGUUUGAAGAUCACAAAUCCAUGGCAUUCCGGCUGCAUAACAAUGUUGGAAAGGAGGAGAGAAGAAUGAAGCAAAUAAACAACAUGGAAAUCAGGAAUUUCUUAUCAAUGCUCACUAAUUUCUCAAGGCCUACAAGGAAAAUGGCCAUGCGAAGUGAAGCACUGAGGCACUGUGCCAAGUGGGCAAAUGCUUCCUGCAGGCACCAGGAACUAGAGCAGCAACCGCUAGCGAAACUUAUCAUCAUGUAGGGUUUAGAGGGAGAUGAAGGGGAUUAAAUUCCCUACCAGCCAAAAUACCCCAAAUCCCCUUCAGUUCCCUUGGGGGAUUUAACCGAACAAGGCCGUAGGCCAAGUUACAUCCUGCUACGGAUGCUGCAUCAUACUUACGAUCCAACACUAGACACAUCCCACAUGCAACCAAUUUCUAGCAAGGAGUAGGUAUUAAUAAUUCUGCAAGAAAAUGGAACUUUCUGUAACAAGCAAUCAACAUGUGGCAUACAAAACACAGGCUGCUUUGUUUGUAUGCAUGCAAAAGAAGAAGGCACUCAAAAUCAAGAGAUAGGCACUAAAGCUGAAAGGCUUUCCACUGUAAACCAGUAUUCCUGCAGGUAAGCAACAGUAAGCUCACGGGGCAAAUAGCCCAUUAAUAUGGGUACUGCCAAUGGCAAGAAUAAGCCCGCAAAGUGUGGUCUGAUAAAAAUGCUUGUUCCUUGAAUUGGAAAUAUAAAUAUACUACGAUGUGAAAAUGCCUGCUCCUUGAACUAAAAAUACAGUCUUAGCAACAGUCUAUGCAAGAUUGAUACUACUUGUAGUGUUCGACAGCCACUUGGAUCAGUAAGUUGCACACUUCAGUUAAAAGACCUAUUUGGUUCCAUAUACUAUAAGGAAGGGCCUAAUUGAUUCAGUUGUAGACUAAUUUUAAACAAUGUACACGGAGAAACAAGAGAAUUAGAGAAAGUAGCAAGCUCAGGUGCACACACAAAAUCAUAUAACCGUCACAAAACAACCAGAGCAUUGGACGGAAGUCAUGUAUCAUAUUAAGAUUAUUUAUAUCUGAGAUCCUGUGUGGCUGUGCUUGAUGAAUUGGAUGGUUAUAUGAUUUGACCUGACAUAUUUCGCACUGGUGUGUGCUAAUUUACCUAUUUUUAUUGUUCUUGGAUGCAGCUUGUCAAUUAUAUAAAAUUACUUGCAGCUUGUCAACUCUGAAUUUGCUAUGUAUCAUAUUAAGAGUAGUUAUAUCUGACAUCCUGUGUGGCUGUGGUUGAUGAAUUUGGGAUGGUUAUAUGAUUUUGACCUGACAUAGCAAAUUCAGAGUAGCUGACAUGAUUUCAUUAACAUUCAGAUCAACCAAUUGUAACACCCCAAUUAGGUCUAAAUUUAUUCAAUUGUGACUACUUUUAUACCAUUGACAACAGCGGCCAGGAACAACAGAAUGAGGUAAACUAGCACGCACGGUGCACAACAGGCCGGAUCAAAAUCAAAUAACCAUCUCAAAUUCAUCAAGCAUAGCACAGACAGGAUGUCAAAAUAUAACUACUCUUGAUAUGAUUCAAGACAAAUUCGGAGUAGCAGAUAUUGUUCCAUUAAUAUUCAGAUCGACCAGGCAAAAGUAGCACCACGGGGACAUCCUCUUACAAACCAACCACGACUACACACGAACCAUCAACAGUCCAACGAUUUCCAUCAAGCGCUACUACUAAUACUACUAUAUAUAUCUAGAUAGGCAGGCAGAUCCACGGCGGGGAUCAACAGCGGUCACCAGGAGGGGGGGCGGGCGAACCUAGGAGGAGGUGAACUUGGUGACGGCCUUGGUGCCCUCGGAGACGGCGUGCUUGGCGAGCUCCCCGGGGAGGACGAGGCGGACCGAGGUCUGGAUCUCGCGGGAGGUGAUGGUGGGCUUCUUGUUGUAGCGCGCGAGCUUGGCGGCCUCCCCGGCGAGCUUCUCGAAGAUGUCGUUGAUGAAGGAGUUCAUGAUGGACAUGGCCUUGGAGGAGAUGCCAAUGUCGGGGUGCACCUGCUUGAGCACCUUGAAGAUGUAGAUCUUGUACGUCUCCACGCUCUUCUUGCUCUUCUUCUUGGACUUCUUGUCGCCGUCCUUGGCCGAGGUCUUGCCCGCCGACGGGAGACGCUUCUCGGCCUUGGGCUUCUUCCCGGCGGGCGCCUUCUCGGCCUUCUCCGCCGCGGGCUCCUCCUCCGCGGGCUUCUUCGCCGCCGGCUUCUUCUCCGCCUUGGGCGCCAUGGGGUUGGGGUAGGUGGGGAUUGGGGUUGAGGUUGAGUGCGGGAGGAGAUUGGGGAAUUUGGGCUGCGGUGGGGAGAGCGGGGGAGGGGGCGGUGGUUUUAUAGCUGGGAGGCGGUGCGCGCUGAUUGGUGGAGGGGCUGGUGCCGCGGAUCGGUGACGUGGAGCGGUGUGAGGCGGUUCGCGCCGCUUUGGAUGGACGGGCGGGAUGCGUUGGGGCGCGGAUCGGUGGGCAUGGCGGGAUUUAUGGGCGCGGACCGGAAAAGGAAAAUGAAUUUUUGGCGGGACGAUCGGAAAAGAAACGCAAAAUGGAUGGGCAAAUGUUCGGGGUGCGCACAGUGUCUCGUCACAGUAGAAAAAUGCGUGGCAUCAAACAAAUUUACACAUUUCAAUGAUAUCCAAAUGAAAUCUCAAUAUAAAUUCAACAUACGGAUAUAUAAAUGGUCUGAAAAGCAAUUCACAAUACAACAAUAGUUUUCAUUUACAACAAAUGUUUAAAUUAAAUUAAUUAUUUUUUUCGUGAAUACGCAAGAGUGUGUAUCCUUUCAUUGAUAGGAAGGAGGUGGACAGCAUGAUUUUUUUGGGGGGGGGGAGGGUGCGAGCUCGAUGCCUUGUAUGCUAAAGGCAAGACAUGGAGCCGCAGAGCAUGGUGACGGGAUGCUCUGCCCGUUACAAGAAUGGACCUAUGCUAUCAGAACGCCUAGUCCAUGCACGCUACUCUAGUCCAGGCGCGGGCCUCCUCCUGGAUCGAUGCGAUUAGUCACGAGGAGGAGGGG
rnacentral:lncRNA from 1 species